rnacentral:lncRNA from 1 species
GAGGCCGUCCAAUUGUUUGCCAAGACAUUUUGAGGACCGGCAAUGCGAUCCUUAAACUCGAGAAGUGCAAACUGAUCGGAGUUGAGAUUCCUGACUGUCAUACCCCAGCAAAGUCCGGAACAUGGUACGAAUAAAGCUAAAAGAAGAUGAAAGCAAGUGUUGUAGUUCAUGAUAGCAAGACGGAAUAAGCCAAGAAAAUAAAAAAAAGUAGGACAAGGGAAGUUGAGUUGAUAAAAUAGUUUGGAUGAUGAAGAAAAGCCCAGAGAGCAUGCUUUAAUAUGUUUUGAAGAAAUUUCAAAAUAAAUUUCAAAAUAAAUUUCAAAAUAAAAAUUUAAAAAGGAAAGCAAAGUUUUGAAGAAAUUUCAAAAUAAAUUUCAAGUCUUCUUCUUUAAAAAAUACGUACAAAGAGCGAAUUUUCAAAAUUUCUCCUAAAUUUUCUUCACAUUACUCCACAUAAUCCAUUAAAAAAACUUAAAAAAUAUAUUUUAUUAAUUACUAUACAUUCUUUUACUUUCAGAAUAAUAAAUUGUUUAAAAUUUGCUAUUAGUCCCUGUAAUUUAAAAGUUAAAAAAAAAAUUCAAUCCUCCUACUUUUCUAAUUUAAAAAUUCUAGUUCAAUCAAUUUUAAUUUUAAAAUCUUUGUAUAAAAGGUGUUUUUUUUUUGUGACCGAUCACACUUAACCAAUAUUUAAAAAUUAUUAAAAAAUAUUUUUUUUUGAAAUUUAAAGUGAUCUAAAAACAUAUUUUUAAGUACUUUGGACAGUCUAUUGUUGAUUUCCUUAUUAUAUUAAGUGUUUGCAAUCACUCCUAAUAUAUUGUGCUUGAGUUGUGACAAAGUCGAUCAUCAAAUUGCCAUAAUGAUCUAUUGAUGCUGAAAUUAAAGUUUUUGUUAUAUUGAUAGAGCUUGUCCUUCAACGCGUACAACGUGUUUGUUAUUUUUCUCCCUUCAAAUUGUAUGAUCUUAUUCAUUAAAUGAAUUAAUGAAUUUCCCUUUUAAAAAGAUAUAUUUUUAAAAAUUAAAUACUUUAUAAAAUAUUUAAAAAUUUGUAAGCCUUAAAACAAUCAACAAAAUAUUUUUGAAAUUUUAUAAAUAUAUUUUAAAAUUAUAGUAACGCUACAAAAUAUAUAUAUUUACUAAUUAUAUGCACCUUUUUUAUUUUUUUUCCUAACAUAUCAUUAUUUUCAACACUAUCGUAAUCCUGUUUUGAUAAUUCCCUUUCCAUACAUCCUUUUUCUACAUAGAAUUUCAAAAGAAAAUGUGAAUUAAUGUAAACGUGAGAAGACUUAAUUACAUUUAUUAGUUUAUCAAUCAAAACUUAAUUAGAAUCCAUCAAUAUUUCACACAUCAAAAACCCAAACAUAAAAUUCACUUUUAAAUUAUUUGAAGAUACAUUUGUAUUAUAGGAAAUGGAUUAAAUUAGUCUUUUAUUAUUAAAUGUAUUAUUUUAAUCUUUGUAUUAGGUAUGAAUUGUAUCUCCUAGAUUGAAGCCAAAGCUAUUCUUGAAAGACUGAAAUUAAGAUUCAGAUGUGUUGAGAUGGAAAGUGGCAACACAAUGUUGAUUGAAACUAUUUAUAACGGGUUGGCUACAAUAAGUAGUGCUGCCGAAGUAAGACAGAUUCACGAUUGGUGUUCCAAAAAUUGGGAAGUCAAAUUUCGACAUAUUCAACGAAAUGCCAAUAAAGUUGUUGAUUGCAUAGCUAAGGCAAAUGGAGGCGUAAUUGAGCAGCUGGUUAUCUUGGAAGAUCCUCUGCAUUAUGUGAGAUGCUAGCUUGAAGAAGAUAUUAGACAGUCACUAGUGACUGAUGAUAAUUUUCAUUUGGACUGAUGAGCGCUUAAUUUUCUAAGCUUAUGUUCAACAAAAAAAAAUUUAAAUACGUCUAAAUUGUAAUAGAGUUAACAUUUAGUGUUUAAAAAAUAUCUUAAAAAUUAUUUUUUUCCAAUUGCAGUUCAAUUCCACAAAUAUCGACGAUGAACCCGGACAUAAAAAUUACAGAAAAAAAAACACAUCUAUUAUCAAACCAGCAAUCCAUGUCUAAACUUAAAUUAACAAAAUUUGCCACACAACGCCCGGUACACUAUUAUAUAUCUAUACUAGAUUUAUUCUAGAUGCACAUGUUUUAUUAUAUUUAAAAAUUAAAAUGUAUGGUUGACUAAGUUUUAGUUGAGUUAGUAUUGAUAUUAUUGUCAGUGUAGGAAAAUGUGAGUUUAAUCACGCUCAAAUGUGUUUUAUCCUCCAAUUCAAGGGUUAGGAAAAGGUUAUUGAUAAUUAAAUUAUACCAACUUUUAUAAUAUUAAAAAAAAGGAUUUAUAAAUAAUAUAAGGAAAAGAAAAAAAGAGAAACAUAUUCAUAUUGAUGGGCUCUUUCAAUAUUAGACUUUUUUUUCUAUCACAAGUAAAAAUAUCAAAGGUGAUAAUAAUUAAAUUAUAAAAUUUAAAUUGAGAAAAUAGGGGAUAAAAUUUAUAAGUUUUAAAGUAUAAAGAAUGAAUUUAUAACUAACAACAUAUUUUAACCACAUAAUAAAAGUAGUUAUGGAGAGGAUCAUAUAAAAUGCAAAAAUGAAAUAAUAGAAAAGAAAUAAGUGUUGGGUAUAGUGGCAAUGUAUAUUAUACUUCUAAGGGGAGAUCAAGAUUUUAGACAAGGGAAGAAUUUUAAACCUGCUUUUUUCUCUAGAACUCAACGCAAACCUCAAAUUUAUCUUUUUAAAAGAAUUUAAAAAUAUCUAUAUAAAAGGUGAUUUUUUACCGAUCACACUUAACAAAAUUAAAAAAAAAUUGAAAUUUAAAGUGAUCUAAAAACAUAUUUUAAAGUGCUUUUGACCAUCUUGUGCUGAUUUCUUUAGUAAUUUGAUUUGUUCAAUAUAGAUUUUGGUGACUUAAAACAAAAUUAAUAAAAAAAUAUUUUAUCAGAUAUCUUUUUAAUGUUUAAUAAUAAGUUAAUUUAUAAAAUAUACUUUCAUUGGACACAGGGCCUCCAAGGCGGUGAACCACUAAUCAAAUUAAUUUUGAGAUACUUAAAUUUGUUUUCAUCAAUUAAGAAAUUAAAAAAAUUUGUUGAGACCUCAUGAUUAUGUUUUAUAAUUUCAGGCUUAUCAACUAUUUUGAAAAACAACAAAACGUCUUACACCAAAAACUAAAAAAAUAAAAACGUCGACAUUAAAUUUGUUGCCAUGCAAUCAAUUUUAAGAUGGUUUUUGGAGUUAUAUAUCACCUUAGCAUUGACUUACUUUUCUACACUUAGUCUUCUCCAACAAGUUAAAUAUUUCAAUUUUAACAACAUUGACAGGUCUUUGGGGUAGGGUCGAGCAAAACUCAAUAUAGGCUGAGUUGGCUCGGCCAAGUCGAGUCGACUUGUUCAAAUUAUUUAAAUUCGUAAUUUUUAAGGUGCAGUUAGAAUUUUUUGUUUUGAGAUGCUAAGAUUAAAAUAUUUCAGUUGCUAAAACAAAAUAUUUGUAUUUAAAAAGGCAUAAAUUAAAUAAUUAAGUUUUUCGAGUUUCCAUUUAAUCAAAGGUUAAAAGGACUAAAUUGAAGCUUUUUAUUUUUAAGAAAGGCUGAAUGACAAAUUGCCCAAAGCCAUGCCCCUAGCUAUACAACUAACUUCUCUAUGAUUAGUCCUUCGUUUGCUUUGGGUGAAAUCUUCCAACUAGCCUCAUCCUUGGUUUUACUUUCCAACAAUUAGUGUAUCACGAGUUUUGUUUUCUUUAAAAAAUAUUUGUGGAUAUUAGGAGAUAAUGAAAAUUAUUUUACUAUGAAAUUUUAAUAAAACUGGAAAAUAAGUAAUUUAUUUUAAGAGGUCGCAAUUAAACGUUAGAUUUCCAAUUUUUAAAUUUUAAUUUUUUUUUGACAAUUGCAUAAUAUUUUGAGUGUUGUAGGAAUGCCAUAAUAUAACCUUCCCUAAACAUAAUCGACUCUUGAGCAUGAUGGAUCCUAGAACUUCUCCUCUAUUCUCGUACCGCAAAUUGCUUCAAGUGUGGGUUCGAACAAUCACAAAUUAAACACAAAACCAGAAAUGAUUUAUUACUUUCAAUAGCAAGGUAAUUCUCUCUCAAUAGAAACCAAUAGAAGUGUAAUUCUUAGAAAAUAAAAUUUAUUUUUUGAAAAUAUAUUCUCACUACUUUCUAGCAGAAUAACAAUAUGUGAAACUUAUGUCUUGUGUUAAUAGCUCUACCAGUACUCUCUAUUUAUAGGGAGAGAUACGAGAAUCCUGGUUGAAUUAGUAAAACACGAAUAAUAUUUAUUUCAUAGAAAACAAUAUUCCACCCUAAGUAGAUCAAGUUUGUAUGACGCAUGGAUCAAAGCUCAAUCUAGGAGGAAAAAAAUAAAGGAAUUUUCUUUGUAAAGAAAAUUUGAGAUUGUACUAUUUUCAAAGUUAUAAAUAAAAUUAUACGCCAAAUUUUUAAGUCAAUUUCAACUCCAAUUUUGUAUGCACAAAUUUCUAGUACACUUGGUGGGACAUUCUUUGACUUUUAUCUAUUCUCUCAAAAAGUUAAAGUUCAAAGUUACAUUAAACUCAAAGAAGAUAAUCAUUAGUAAACCACCUCACAAGCCUGCUCAAACUAAUCCUACAACUCAUUCCACUUCAUCAUCAAACACCAAUGUUCUUGCUUAUCCUUAUGGAAUUAAACAGUCUCAUUUUCUGCAUUUUGGGUACACACCUGGUUUUAUUUGAUGCUAAAACAGUCCCCGAGCACUCCAAAGCCUAUAAUUGAACAAAUAAUACUAAUUUAAUCUUACAUAACAUGAUCCCAAAUUGAACUUGUAUCGAGGUUUUAACCCAUAAGUGACUAAACCUUACCUUCAACCGAGUGAACAGUAAUUCCCACACAAACUAAGACUCCGAUUGAAGAUUACGAGCCAUUGAAUCCUCCCCUAAUUGGCAUAAACAAAACACUUCAAAAGAAAGUCAACAAAUGGAGACAAAUCACUUAUCUAAAACUUACCGAACGAUCACAGACAAACGUGAAGCGACACGAGGCAGAGUGGGAAAAGAAAAAUCAAGAGGAUGAAGGGUGAAAGAGAGCAGAAAUUCGGUAGCAAUGAAGAGAAAAACGGCAAGAAAGUGGAGGGAUUUUGGGGAAAGUAAAAAAAAAGAUGAAUAGAAUAUUUGAUAACUACCCCAAUCCCUUAUUUCUCUCUAUCAAACUCCCCACUAAAUCCACUACUCAAAUUUUUAGUCCAUCUCAAACUCUCCUGGACGCACGAGCAAAAAAUAAUGCCCAUGCCAAAAUUUAAACAAAAGACCUCCUUCACACCAACACUCCACUUAUCCACCAGACCAAUAGGCUCAUUCUUUUAAUUAUUUUCCAACUUUUACUUAAAAGCCUACUGACCAAAGAUAGGGCUUAUUCAUAAAAAUACCAAAUUUUGCCCAAGACCUGGCUUGAACUUGGGACCUCCCAAACACACCCAGAACACAUAACCACUAAAGCAGACAUAAAUUUUGUGUCACACAUUCACAAUACCCAAAAUUAAAAUUUUAGGGCGUUACAAAAACACAUUAAAUAAUAUCGCAUAAAAUAAUCACAGUUAGAUAACAGUUCAGAAUGUCGAUUUUACAAUUUAACCACCAAUAGUAUCACAGUAUUCACAGUUGUAAUUUCAGAAUAUCAAAUUUCCACAUGAUUCACAAUAUUCACACAUAUAUAAAUAUAUCAUAAUAGAAUUCCAGAUUUGUAUGCACAUGAUUUAGAAGAUGCCAUACAAUUUUGGUUUUUAACAGAAUAAAUCCUACCCCACGUUACAUACCAUAAUGGGAGUUCCCCUAAACUCCCUUCUCCAACACACUAGGUUAUGGAUAAACCACUAUUGGUUCACAAAUAAUAACUGUCAUUUGGCUGUGGACACACAGCAAGUCCCCACAAUUGGAUUCUAGAUUUGGUUGUGGAUUCACAGCAAAAAAAUCCUACAAAUGAAGCCUGCUUUUGCCUGUAGAUUAUACAACAUAUACCCGCAGUUGGAAUCUGUCUUUGGCUGUGGAUGCAGUGUAACACCGCAAACUCGACCUGGACAUUAUGGCUGAAUCUUGAUGAUUUACUUUAACUCGCUAGAAAACCCACGAAUUUACUUUAAAAUCAUGUGGUUAAACUAGUGUUCACUUUGAUAAAUUGUUUUCCAGUUUUAGAGAAAUUUCUUGUUAAAACUGUUACUUUAUUACAAUAAAACAUUAAAGUAAUUGUAUCAUUUUGUAGUGGAAUCUACUAAGCUAUAAGGUUUUGAAAAUCGUGAUUUAGUUUGCAACAAAUCAUUUUGCAAAUAGAAAUUUAAUACUACUUAAUUUGGAAAAUCACGCUAAAACGAAAGCAAAGUCCAAAAUAAUUUACGGUUUGAAAUUCUAAAAAGCCCAAAUUAGACAUAAAGUCUAUUUAAACCAAUUUAUUGAAAGUGUAACACCCUAAACCCGGCCUAUAUGUUAUGGCCAAAUCUAGAUGUGUUACGAAAAAAAGUUUAUAAAAUGACUUCCUUGUUAUUGGCAAACCAUCGUAACCAUUAUUACUUAGUAUAUCUGAUUUGUUUGGAAAACUUAUUGAUAUACUUAUUUGAUUUAAAAUCGUUGCUCGCUUAUGCCUUUUUAUUAAACCAAAUAUUUUGCAGCGGAGUUUCUUUACAACAUCAUAUUUUGGAAAAUCAAAUUGUUUCUUGAAAAUCGUUAUUUUAGAAAAGUUUUCAUUUUCAGAAAAAUUAUUUUAUCAGUUGUUAUGCUGAGAAAACAAAAUAAAAUCCAAAACCAAAAAUAAUCGCAAAAAGUCUAGAGAGUCCCAAAAUGACAAUACUCUUAAAACUAGACAAGCUUAAACUAAUUUUAAAAGAAUGAAAUUUUACAGAAAUGUGGACACCACUGAGCUUCCGUCGCACCGACCCACCUAAAUCUGAGGGUUACUUGAACAGAACAAACAAACAGAGAGUGAGUUUUGAAACUUAGUGUCUAACGCAUAUAUAAACAAAAAUUCAGAAUCAAUCUCAUGCAGAACAGAUACAAGUGUAAACCUUUUAUAAAAUUAGAAUUGUACAGAUACAAAUAUGCAACAUCCUACCCUCAUCCUCUACACACCAACUCCGACCAUCCUAUCACACCACGUGGGGUAUAAAAUACCCAUCCAGCCCUACACACCGUAUAGUGUUUAUAUGACACUUUUUGGAAUAAUCGCAGCAGAGUUGCCAGUAUAUAUGCGAGAUAUCACCUCACAUAGAACACUUCCUCCUCAUAAUACAAAUCCCGCCUCAUAGCUAGAUACAGACAAAAUAUGAUGUAAAAUAAAUUAACAGAUACUAGAGUUAACAUAUCACGCGUGAGCGUAUAAUAGAUAUUACACAUGCUUAUGCAUAACAAAAUAGAUCAUACAUAUUGUAUUCCAUAAUACUCAUAUAAAUGUUAUUUACGUCAAUCUCAAUCUAACAGAGUAGCAGAUUUCAUGCUUUAACGCUUAUACCACACAUAUAGACCCUAUAGAAGGCCCACAGUCGAUCGAGACAACAUGUAUGUCGCUAGGGAAAAAAUUUGUAAUUUGGGCCCAUAUACAUGUAUGAGCCCACACACCCAAAAUGGCCUUGCCCAUGUGGCUCACCAACCUAGCACUCAGCCCAUACGGUCCAAAAUGGCCUAGGUCGUGUGUCACACACAGCCGCAUGUUGCACACAGCCUACCACAUAGCCAGUCACAAAACUGUUUGGAGUUGAAAAGCCCAAUUUUUGGCUUUCGUCAAUCAUCAUUUUCUUACGUUUUCAUUACACACCUGGUUUGAUUCUGACGCAAAAGCAACCCUAUGUCCACCGAAACCUAAAAAUAGCAUUCCAACGCCCAAUUUCAGUGAACAUUUACAAAACUCAAACAAAAACUAUCCAAAAACAUAGCCUCACAAUAGCAUCCAACGCACUCGCACACUUAUCGUCAACAAAUAGGAAACACCCAACACUCAAUUCGUUGGCGGAGCACCAAUUAUGAUAAUGCAAAAAUUUUAUGGAUUCUCAACACUAUCGAUCCGAAUGUAAGAUUGAUGCUUUCCAAUUAUGAUAAUGCGAAAAUUUUGUGGGAUGGUUUACAUGAAUUUUUUUUGUUGUCAACGAUCAACGUAUUCAAUAAUUAAAAUAAAAUAUUAGUCGUUUUUAGAAAACCAAGACUAUGAGUGUUGUAGUUUAUUUCAGUAAAUUAAAGGUUUUGUGGGAUGAACUAGAUAAUCAUGAACCAUUGAUUUGUUGCAAGUGUGGACAAUGUUUAUGUAACUUAGGGAAGGCGCAUGAACAAUGUCGUGAGCAUGAUUGACUUCAUCAAUUACUUCUUGCUCUCUAUUGUAAUUGUUAUGCUCAAACUAGGUUUACACUGUUUUACCAAGAUCCUUUGCCUUCCUUAAAUCAGGCAUUCCAACAAAUUACUUAGGAGGAACAUGUACGUGGAAUUACACUGAUUAAGGAAGAGAAGUCUGAUAUUUUAGGCUUUGCUAUGCGUACAGAGGGUCAUAACAAAGGCCGAGCUAAUUGUAUUGAUAAGUCAACCUUGUUGUGCACUCAUUGCCAUCGCAAAAGGCAUGAGAUGGCUACCCAUUUUGAAUUACAUAGCCACUUGGAUUGGCGGCUUAAGAAGUAUGGGAAGCCAGAGAAGAAAAGUGAUGAUCGUGGUGGUAAGACAAGUGCCACAUCUUCCACGUAAGUGUUUUAUUUCAAAGGAUCACAAUUAAACAUUAGAUUUCUCAUUUUUAAUUUUUUUAUUUUUUUAACAGCUACGUAAUUAACGAGUACCAAUUUUGGGUGUUGUAGGGGUUCUAUAACUUUCCCUAUAUGUAAUCGACUCUUGCACCCACUUUUUUUUCUCUAGAAUUCAAUGCAAACCUUAGAUUUAUCUUUUUAAAAGAAUUUUAAAAUCUCUUUAUAAAAGACGAUUUUUUUAGGUGACCAAUCACACUUAAGAAAAACAAAUCGGUGGCAACUCCUUUCUAAUAAAUGUAAAAAACUUUUUAAACAAAAUAAGGUUGAAAUAAUCUAGUUGUCGUUAUACUUUGAUAAAAUUUUAGAUUUAGUCCUUAUACUUAAAAGGUUAAAAAUUAAGUCUUGUUUUUAUUUAAAAAUCUUAGUCCUAUCGUUAAUAUUGUUUUUUUUUGUCAAAAUUUGUCAAGUUGACAUAUUAAUUAGGUUUCUCUUAUAUAUCGUGGUAUAUGACUAACACAAAAUAAACAAGUUGACAAAAUCUACAAAAAAUAUCAAAGAUGAUAAUAGUUUAAUUAAAAUUUUUAAAUUAAAAAAGUAAGGGAUUAAAUUUAUAACUUUUAAAGUACAAUGAAUGAAAUUAUUGAAAUACAAGAACUAACAACAUAUUUUAAAAUAUUACUAGUAAAUUAUAUAUCUACAACAAGAAUUGUAACCUCUUAUAUUAUAUUCUUGUAUCUAUUUUUGCAUCUUUCAUUAUAAUAUGAUUUAUUAAUUUUAAUAUUUUUAUAGAAUAAUAUGCUUUAAAUAGUUUUUUGUAUAAUUUAUAAAAAUUAUAAUAAACUUACAAAAUAAUUUAAUGAUAUUUAAUUAUUAACCAAAAAAAAUGAUAUCAUAUAUAUUAUGUAUAUAUUAAGAUUCCGAAUCAUUAAUUAUAUAUCUACGCAUUAUAAUAAAUUCAUCUUUCAAAAUUUUCCUUAUAAUUAAAGCAUAAAUUAUAUUUAUAAUAUUAUAAAUAUAUUUUAUCAUAAAUAUUCUUUCAAAUAUUUUUUAAUGUUUAAUAAUAAGUUAAUUUAUAAAAUAUUUUUUCAAUAAAUUAAUGUGAUGAGAUCGUUAGGUGCUUGGAUUUGGUGAAGGGGGAUGAAGAGAAAAGGGAUGGAAGUGAAUAAAAAUGUUGAGAAAUCGAAAGGGUUAGCGAGGGAAGCCGCCAUGAAAGGUGGUUCAAUGGAUAUGAACCAUCAAGCUUUUGUGGAUGAUGUUACUCAAGGUUGUUGCAAGUAAAUUAAAAAAUAUUUUUUUAAAUUAUUUUUUUGUUAAAAAACAUUUUUUAUUUUUUAUGUGGCAUGCCACAUUAUCAUAGUAUCAUGUGACAACUUCUGGUGAUUUCUGUCUGUAACAUUAGUCAAAUCAACAGUUAAAUCGUUCAACUCACAGUUUUUGUUAAAUGAAGAGGUCAAUUGGUUUUUUUGGAAUCAUUGAGUACUCAAUUGGUGCACUUUUAUCAUAAAGGCUAAAUUAAUUUUUUUAAUUUGUUAUUGUUGAGGGCUAUAACAAUAAAAAAAUUAAUGUAAAAUGAAAAAAAUGUUAGAGCUAAAUUUGUCAUUAUAACUAAAAUGUAAAACCAAAAUUUUUUGAAAAAUGAAAAAAAUGGAAAAUCACAAAUUCUAUCACUUAUGUUUGCUUAAAAUUAUAGUUUUGGUCACCAAUCUUUUGAAGUAAAUAUAUGGUCACCAAUAACUCACCUUAAAGUUAUACCCCUACGCAAGAAAGGAUUAAAUGACAUUGGAAUACCAUAAAACUUGUAUCUUUUUUUAUUCAUCUAAUACCAUUUUAACAUUUUCAUUUUAAAAAAUUGACAUAUCAUUUUGAAUUUGAUCUUUUUCAUGGUAUCUCAAAUUCAUUUAAUCUUUCCCUCUCUAAAAAAGCUAAUGUAACACAUUAAUGACAUCAUUUCAAACAAAGUUUUAGGUCAAAUUAUUCAUCUAGUCCUUGUAAUUGUUUUUAUAGGUGAAUUUCAUUAUUAUUCUUUUAUUUUCUUAGGCUUAAAUACACAUUUACCCCUAAUUUUAUCCCAUUCUCCUUAAUUGGUAUUUAUGGUUUAGAAAAUUUUAUAAAUAUAUUAUUUUUUAAGAAAUUAUAAGAAGAUUACAAAAAUUCCAAAAUAAUAUAAAAAAGCCAAGGAAAACCUAGAAAUUCAAAAAAAAAAAAAAAACGUCGACAUUGAAUUUGCUGUUUCACAUUCAAUUUUUGGAGAAGUAGAAUUUUCUAACUUAUUUUCCAUCAACUUGACUUCAAUUUUCAAUCACAAUCAAUUGCAUUCAAGAGCACCACAUCUGUUUGGAUGAAACAAACCUCUCAAUUUUAAGAUAAACGGGUCUUUAGGGUUAUAAAUUGAGGGCCUUUUCCACAAUUGCGGGUGAUUCGUUGAUAAUAACCUCAACAUUUCUGUAUCACAUUUCAAUUUUUAAUUUUUAGAGAGAUGAUUGGGUUACAAGACUGGUUUGAAGUGAAGAUAUUUCAAAAGAAGAUCGAAUACUCUACCAAUAGUCAUAAUUUAAAAUUCAGGUUAUGUUUCAUUUCAGCUAAGUUAAAUGUUAAGAUUGAGGUUAAACCUUUUAGAGGUUGCUCACAAAAGGAUCAAACCUUUAUAAAAUUGCCUAAAUGAAGGUUAAACCUUUUAAAAUAGACAAAUAAGGGCCUAACCUUUUAAAAGGUGUUCAAAUAAGGGUUUCUCAAACGUUGUAUAUCAGGUUAUGUGUUUUACUCUAAACACAUCGACAUUUACCUAUUUUUUCUAUAAAUUUGGUUGAAGUGCAUGAAAAAUCCUUAUUUGAGCACUUUUGUAAAGGUUAAUCUCUUAUUUGACCAUUUUGAAAGGUUUGAUCCUUAUAUAAGUAACCUCUAAAAGAUUGAGCACUAAUUUGACAAGUUUGAGAAAUAUCUAAAUUUGUUUUCAUGAAUCAAGAAAUUAAAAAAGAAAUGUUGAGAAAUAUUUUAGAGAUUCUUAGCUUUGACAAGUUCCCUCCACCAUCUCCCUGCCUCCAGUCCCACCUCUUCUCUUAUGCUCCUUCCAGCUUCUUGCCUUUUGUGUGUUGAAAAUUCAAAGGAACAAAAUAUCAACCUACAUCAUAAGGCACGAUCGCCAGAACUUUACUUUCUAGCCUGUCGAUCCGAUCCAAUCCAAUGAAAGAAGAACAAGGAGUCUUAAGAUCUGUCAACUUUAUUUCAUUUUCAUUUUCUUUGUCAUUUUCUAUGUUUCAUGUCGAAUACAAUGAAAGAAGAACAUAGAAAAAUGUGGCCUAUUUAUUUCCCAAUCAUCAUGAAAUUACUUGCCAUUGACUUAGAAUUUUCUCACCAAUUUUCAAGCAAUCUGACAUGAUUUCUCAAUCACAAUUAAUUGAAUUCAAGAUCUUUUUAGAUGACACAAACAUUUCAAUUUUAACACAAACCAAUAUUUCGGUUAUACUUCAGUGCUUGACAAGCACUUUCACAUUUGUGGGAUAAGAACUCUUAACAUUUUAGGAUCACAUUUAAUUCAAUUGCAUUUAAGACCUCAUGGUUUUAUUCUAUAAUUUCAGUCUUAUCAGCCUUUUCGGAAACAAUAAAACGUCGACAUUAAAUUUGUUGUUGAUGCAUUCAAUUUUUUGAGGGGUCUUUGGAGUUAUAUGUGACUUUAGCAUUGACUGACUUUUUUAUAAUUUAUCUUUUAUAAUAAGGUAAAUAUAUUAAUUUUAAUAACAUCGACAUGUUUUUUAGUAGGGUCGAGCAAAACCCAAUUAAAAUCGAUGAUAUUGGCUUAGUUGACUCGGUCAAGUCCAUUAGAUUGAUAAAAUCAUUUUUAAAAUCAGUUAUAAUGGAUAAAGGUAAUUAAUUAUCGAGUAAUGAAAUACAUAAUCAAAUCAAUUGAUUUUGUUAGAAACUAAAAGAAAAAGGGCUAAGCUGAAAAUUGAUUGCCCUUUAUUAAAAUUAACGAAUCUGUCUUUUACGUAUUAGAUAAUAUGAACAUCGCAUAUAUAAUAAGAAAAAUUACGUAUGAUUAUUUAUUAUCAUAAAAGGUUAGUUUAAAUUUAAAGUAAUCUAAUAUGUUUAUUGAACUUCAACUAUUAAAUAAAGUAUAAGCUAAAUAAGUAUAAAUAUUCUAGAAACCAUUUCUAACUGAUGAUAGGCUAAUUCGAUUAAUUUAUAAAAACUAGAUAGUAGGGUUAUAGUCCUCAAACUACACCUAAUUUAAUAACAUUUAUAUUUUUUUUAGCCUUAAACAUUUAUAGUUUUUGUUAAUUUGGUCCUUACUCUUUAAAAUUACAUAAAAAUUGCAAAAAAAUUAAAAAUUAAUUUUUAUCAUGAUUUUAAUAACAUUUAUAUUUUUUUUGUGGUUUGGUAACUUAUCAACUUGACUCUUACUUGUAACCAACUUUUCUAACCUUUUUCGUACCCUUAACCUAAGUCCCGUUACAAUUUCUAAAGACCUCUUGAUUGGUGUAUCAUCUCGAUUUGUUUUUAUAGUGGUGGAGAUUUGUUUUUUGUAGUGGCAUGAUUGCCAGAACUUUACUUUCUAUCCUGUCGAUCCGAUCCAAUGAAAGAAUAACAAAGAGUCUUAAGAUCUGUCAACUUUAUUUCAUUUUCAUUUUCUUUGUCAUUUUCUAUGUUUCUUGUCACAUACAAUGAAAGAAGAACAUAGAAAAAUGUUGCCUAUUUAUUUCCCAAUCAUCAUUCUAACAGGCCGAAUUAGCCCAGGCCCAAACAUUAAUAAAAUGUCCAGAUUACAAAAUAACCAACCAAAAAUUAAAAGCCCAAAAUAAUAAAAUAAAACCCAUUACAUUAACCCAAAACUCCAGCCCAAUUACAUUGAAGCCCAAAAAAAUAGUUUUUAGAAACCCCUAGGGUUUCUGGAACAAUCCGCGCCGCUCCUCCAUCCGCUUCUCCACGCACGCUGCACCUUUCCACGUGCGCCUCCAGCUGGCAGUGUACCUCCAAUGCAACAAACAAAGCAACAAGCAGCAAAAGAAAUGGAAAAACAACAAAAAAAAAAAGAAAGGAGCAACAAUGUAUAACAGAUUGAUAACAAAUAAUAGAAAAAAUAGCAGUAAAUAGGAAAAAAAAUUAAAAAAUAAUGAGGGUAAUUUCAUUUUUUUCUCUGUUUUGGCUAUAAAGAGAGCCGGUCAAAAUCUCUAAAGGGGGAUUUAGAAAUCAAUCAGAAAACAAGUAUUUUGUACCAACAAUUAGAGAAAAAAAAUACAAAAAUAGGGAUUGAAGGUUUUUUUUUCUUUCGUUUCGAUUUAUUUUAAAAUAGCAUAGAAAAUAAAAAGAAGGCUUACCUUGCGACGCCUUCAGAUCCUCUCGAAAAGGGGCUAAAAGGCCCUAUGUGGCACAGAUUUGACCACUGUUCACGGUGGAACCGCAGCGGAGGCGCAGAGGAUUGGCAUCAAUUUAGGCAGGGUUUGAAACCCUAGCAGAGAAAAAAUUAGGGUUGAUAGAUUUUUUUUAAAAAAAUGGCAAAAUGUUGUUUUAAAAAAUUUUGUUUUAAAAAAAAUUGUUGCUUUUAUAAAGGGUGUAAAACGGCGUCGUUUAGGGCAUGUUUCGAUGGCCCCAAAACGGCGCCUUAUAAGGCAACCCCCGACGACCCGACCUGCUCCAUGGGGGAUCCGCGUGGUUUUUGUUAAAUGGGUUAUGUCUAACCCUGGCCCUUCUACUUUUUAUACUUGUUUUAAUUUGAUCCUCUUUUUAUUUAUUUUUAUUUCUUUAAAUUAAGCCUGAUAAUUUUUUUCCAUUACAUUUUAAUCCUUAAUGAAACGGCGCGUUUUAGAGGAGAAGGGAAAAUUACCCUUCUAGUCCCUUCUUGUUAUUCGAGUGUUCAGAAGGGUCCUUUUUUGUUUAUUUUUUAUUUGCCCCAAAAUUUUGUUUUAAAGCUUAAUUUAGUCCUAUUUUGUUAUUUUAGCUAUUUUAUUAUUAGAUUAAUUAAUUUAAUAUUAUUAUUACUGCUAUUAUUUUACCCCUAUUAUUUAUAUAUUUAUUAUUAUAACUAUAUCAUUAAAUCAAUUAGUUUUUACAUUAUUAUUUCCAUUCUGUUUUUUAUUUACUUACUUAAAUACUUUAAAUGCAUUUAUUUUAUUUCUUAUUUUUUUAUGAAAUUUCAAAACUUUAGACUAUUUUUUUGUUACUAUAACCCUAAUUUCAUUCAUUUUAUAAUAGUUUUUUUUUAAAAUAUUUCUUAGAUUAAUUCCCUCGAUGUUAUUUUGUAUAUUUAUUUAUCUUUUUAAAUUUUCGAUAUUGUCUUAUUGUAUUAUUGUUGUUACUAUCAUUAUUCAUUAUUAUUGUUGAUUUUAUUCUUCUUUGAUUAAUGUUUAUGUUAGAGUAAUAGGUGUUAUGUGAUCAUUGUUAUUAUAUGUUAUAAUUUGUUGACACUCGUAUUGUAGUCAUUCGUCAGCUUAAUAUUUUGAGUAACAUUUUAAAUAUUACAUUAAUUUUGACCCAAAUGCAUAAUUUUUUAAUAAGUAAUAUUUCGUAUUGUGGAAUUUGAGAGAUCAUUCCCUAACUUACGGGGUCUCGAUUUUUUUGAUAAAUCUGAAUAUAAGAACUAUUUUAAAAAAAUACGUUUUAAAAUUAUCUCGGGAAUUUAAAAAGAAGCGUGUUCUAACUUACGGAAUAUGAUCUUUUUUUAAAAAUCGAGAUAAUCAAAUAUCUUUCAAAUAAAUAAACUUUUCGUGUUUAUUCUCGUUUUAGGAUUUAAGAUAUUGUGUCCUAACUCACGGGACACAAUUCUUUUUCUCGAUUAACGUGAAAUACGCCCUUUUUAAUUUUAUCUUUUUAAGUGAUUUUAACAAAAGGAUUGUAUUUUAAAUCUCUUCAAAAUUUUCAAUUUUUCGACAUUGAGACAUUAACUAAUCAAUUAGGUACCAAUUUUGGGCGUUACAAGGGUGUUAACCCUUCCUUGUACAUAACCGACUCCCGAACCUAUUUUUCUGAAUAUUAUAGGCCAAAAUUGUUUUAAUAAAUUAAACCCUUAAGAGGUGACUCGAUCACAGCUCAUAAAAAUUAUCGGUGGCGACCCUUGUUUUAAAAAAGGUGGUUUCAACAGCUUGGCGACUCCGCUGGGGACAAAAAUAAGAGUCAAGCCGCGAGUUGAUUAUUUCUUAUCUUUUUGUCAGAAAUUGUGAAUUCGAUUUAAAUUUAUGAUCUUUUCAUUGCAUUUUAUGGUCUGCAUCAUUUUUAUAUGCUUGCUUUACUACUUCGAGUCUUUUAAUCUUCGCAUAUUGUAUUGCAUAACCGUUCGGUUAUACCCUUUUAAGCGGGAGUGAGAAAUUAUUCUUUCGUGAGGUUUUCACCUUCGUAUAGGAUAGUGGAUUACUUUCAGGAUACAUCCAUACCUAUGUCUUCGUGAGAUUCUCAUCUCCGUAUAGUCAUAGGGAAAUGUAUUCCCCUGAACUGAACUCAGUCCGUAUGAGCCUAUAAUGGGUGAGGAUUGAGGAAUCUGCUGGUUCAGGUACCCUUUCUUUAGAACUAAACCGCAUGUAGUGAGCCCUAAGAGCAUACCCUAGGUAGAACCACUCCAAACCCCUAGUGGUCACCCAAAUAGGUGCUCUAUUUAUUUUUGCUUGCUUGUUUUUGCCUUGUACUAACCUAUUUGUUAUGGUUAUGAGUGCAUUGCAUUUUUAUCAUAAAAAAGAUGUGUUGAUUCACGUUCAGUUGCUAAAUAGAGAGCUUGUCAUGGAAAACGAAUUUCUUGAUAAAGUGGAAGACAAUGCGGUUGUCCGGAUAUGGUCCAAGAAAAUGUGAAGAAAGAAGGGUGAUAGUCUAAUGGAGGACUACACGACCUUGCUUUGUUGCCUGAUGAUUCAAGUUGACAAAGAUUAUUCGAGAGUCUUCAAUGUCCCGACCUUUUUAAAGAAGCUAACGAGCGUCACGAGGAUGAGCGAGUAAUGAGUUGCGGCCCGGAUCAAGCAAAAAAAAGAUAGAGGAGACACCCUUUUUGAAGAGUUCACGAGAUUUAUCUUAACAUCUAGACGAAGAAAAAGAUCAAUCUCUUUGCCUAGAGUAUGAGGGCAAAGCCGUAUAUAUCCGCUUUAUGUAAAUAAAUUUGUUUUCUAGUAAAGUUUUUCUAAUAGGAUUGAAUCAGAAUCAACGUCUCUUUUUGCAUUCAUUCCAUUCAUCUGCAUUGCAUUUCAUUGCAUCUAGAAUUUCACAAAAGGACCCUAAUUAAUCGAAAUUGUUAUAGCUACCUUGAAAAACUAACGAAAAUUUACCAAUUAAAUAUUCCUAUGGUACCCAUUGCAAAACUAAAGUAAUGGAUCAAAUAUUAGAAAGAUUAGAACAAAUGCUGAAGGAUAAACAUAACUGCUUUGGCUUAGGGUACAAGCCAGAUACAAGACAAAGAAGAAAUAGGAAAGGAGAACACGUUUGAGCGGGGAUGAGGUCAAAUGGGAGGGAUUAUUCAUCCCAGGCGAAGAAUGCCAAGAGAAGAAAAUAUUGAAAACAUGUUGGGAAACGUUCACAUCAAUGCCAUAUACGAAGAAGCAAUUGAAGGAGUGACCUUGUUAGAUAUCCGCCCUUAUGAACCUAAGAGUGUGCUAAACAAUUGGACUGCAGAAGAAAUUCUUGUAGUGUUUAGAGCUUACUCAUAGUAAUGUUCAGAACACACUUGUUGCUUUUAGCCUAGAAGUGAUAAGAAUCCCUCUGUGAAAUAGGCUCAUGUAUAAACAUCAUUAUUUUAAUGAAGUACAUCUUUGCAUUCAUUUUGAGCAAAUAUUCUUUUAUUCUUUUCAUACGAGUAAUUAUUUUGGAUUCUUUAAUUCUUUUGGGAUUUUCUUCCAAAAUCAUUCUUUUAUUACAUCCAUAAUCAUACUGUACAAAUAAUGUAAUAGCCUGAAUUUUCAGUGGUGUCGGAAUGGUGAUUCAAGAUCACUAAGUCUGACAAAUGAGUAGAAAAUAUUAUUAAUUUAGUAAGAAUAAGUAAAUGUGAAGUUAGGAAAAUUUUUGAAAUAGUGAAUAGUGUACUAGGAAUAAAUAUUAAAAUAAUUAAAAUAAAAAAUGAGGUAUCGAGACCUCGAAGAUUUUAAACCAAGCCAUAAGUACUUUUAGAAGUAUUUUUAGAGUGUCAUUGAGUUGGUAUUAAAGUUUCGUUAGAAAAUUUUAACGCUCGGAUAGUUAAUUAACCAAAAAGGACUAAAUUGAAAAUAGUGUAAAAUUUGUUAAAUUGUGAUUAAAUAGCUUAAGUGAUUAAAAAGGAGGGAUUUAAAAGGCAAUUAGGCCCAAAUUAUAUGGGCUGGACGGUUGGGUAAGAAAAAUCAGCAGAAUGUAAGGAGAAACAGGGGCAAAAUUGGAAACUUAACAAAUUAAACAUAUAAAACAAAGACAAAAGUGAAAAAUCUAGAGAUCUGCUCACAAUUUAUCAGCAAAAAUGCCAUAGGAGGUCUGAAAGAAGCUGGUUUUUCAUAUAUUUGAAUCAUGUAAGUUUAAUUCUUGAUUAUUUCUUCUAAUUUUUGUGAUUUUGAUACUUUUACAAUUAGGUCCAACUAAUUAUUUCAUUAGUUUUUGAUUUCAUGGCUGAUUUUGAAAGUUACCAUUGAUGAGUGUUGGAUUUUUAUGAUGAAUAAACAUGGAAUUAAAGCUUUAAUUUUGUUAUAUGAUGAUUUUAUUAAGUAAUUUUGAUAGAAAUUGAUUUUUGGGACCUAAUUGUGAAAAAGUUUGGAAUUAGGGUUUGGUGUUGCGGUUUUGAAUAUGAAAGUCUAUGUAGUAGUCUAAAAUAGUUGGAAAAGGUGUUAAUUGAGAAAAAUUAGAUCAAUUGAGGGGUUAAUUGAGUAGGACCAAAUUGUAAAAACUGUAAAGUUUGAGGUAAAAGUGUAAUUUCGAAAAUUUAAGGGCAUAAAUUGUGAAGUGAAUUAGAAUAGAAUUAUAUGCUGAUGAAUGAAUAAAUUUGUAUUUUAGAUCGAGAACCCGAAGCAAGCCGAGGAAAAGAAAAAGUAGUUGAUUAGUCCCUGAACUUUUACAAAUUCUGCAAAUCGACCCAGGUAAGUUCAUAUGGCUGAAAUUUAAUGAUUAAAUGUUAAUUUCAUGAAUUAUGUAAUGUAUGAUGAAAUGUAUUUAGUGUUGAAAUGAGAGUAAAAUAAAAAUGCGAAAAUCGAAUAAAUGAUCAAAUUAAGCGGAACGCCGGAUUUGAGUACUUCUGAUCAAGAGACAAAGUGAUAAGUGGUAGCUUUAGCUACACUUAUCUGAUCAAGUGAAAAAGUGAUAAGUGCUACACUUAUCUGAUCAAGAGACAAAGUGAUAAGUGGUAGCUUUAGCUCACUUAUCUGAUCAAGUGAAAAAGUGAUAAGUGCUAUACUUAUCUGAUCAAGUGACAAAGUGAUAAGUGGUAGCUUAGCUACACUUAUCUGAUCAGGGCCAAAUGAUAAGUGAUCAUACGUAAGACCAUAGUUAUACUAUGGCCAAGUGAAAGUGAAGUACUCAAUUUUCCGUAACCGUUCCUUAAUUUUGAUCAAGGAUGGUAAGUGACAAAUAGGCCCAAAGAAAUUAUGGUAAAAGAAUAAGUAGUAGUGAGUUUAUACCAAGGAACUCUCCAAAGAUUGUGGUUGACAAGUAAACUUAGUAAUGGUGUAUAUUGUAUAAGUGUACAAAUGUUUGGUAAGAUUUAUGUUUGUGCCUAUGAACUUACUAAGCUUUUCUAUAAGCUUACAUGUGUGUGUUUAUUGUUUUUCUAGAUUAACGUAUUUAUACAUUCGGAGGAUCGGAUCUACUUCGAGAAUCACACUAUCCAGAUAUACUCCGGUAGAUUUUGUUAAACAACUUUUUGGAUUUAUAUGGCAUGUACAUAGAAUUGAAGUAAAAAGUAAUAGAAUGAAUGACUGAGUAUGCAAAGUAAAUUUGAAUGUGAUGGUUGUGUUAGAUAUUGAAAAAUACAUGUUUUUAGUUUGAAAUGGUUGAUUGGCUGAACUUCGUUAGUAUUCAAGUGAAGUAGUUGAAAUACUGGAAUUGGUUGUGAUUUGAAAUUUGCAGGGAAGGUUAGAUAAAUAUAAAGGGGUUAUAUUGAUUUUUUUUAAAAAUUUCAAUGGAAUAAUUUUUGGACAGCAGCAUUGAUGUAACUUUUAAAAAUCACCAAAAAUAGUGGAAAUAGAAUUAGAAGUUGAAUGAGAUAUGAAAUUAAAUCUGAAUGAGUCUAAUUUCACAUGAAAGAAGUAGAAUAAGAAAAAGAGUUAUAUAUUUUUAGAUAUUUGAAUUUUAGUGAAACAGGGCAAGAAUGUUUUUGAAGUCCCCUGUUCUGACUUUAGAAAUUUAGUAAAAAUUGUACAAAAGGAAUUAUGAAUUAUAAUUUAUAUGUUUAAAUUCCGUAAUGAGUAUAUUUUAAGUAGAAAUAAUUGGAACCACCAUAUGAAGUCUUUGCAAUGAGAUAAUUGAAUUUUAGCGACAAGAGGUCAGGAUAGUCAAUUAGUGAAAUAGGGGAGACUUCAACUAAUAAACUGUAUUAAUUUGCUAAACCAAAAAUUCUGAAAAAUUUAUGGUGAAUAUACAUAUGAGUCUAGUUUGAGGGAAAAUUUACGGAUCUAAAUUUUUAGUUUCGUAUCUUGAGUUAUAAUUAUUUUAGUGACUACUGCGCAUGUGGACAGCUUUGUUGUGAAUGGUGAAAUUAAUUUUUAAAGUAAAUUUUUAUGCCCCGAACUUUUAAGUUCAGUCAAGUAACGCCUUAUGCUCGACUCCGGCAACCGUCUUGGGUAAGGGGUGUUAUAAAUAAUUAUUCUUAAAUUCAUACAUUCUUUGUAUAUUAUUUUGUACCUACAAUAGGUCCCUAGAUAUUAACAACAUGAGUGACGUUGCUACAGACUCAGAAUUUCCUUUUAAACAAGACAUGUGUUUAGAGGGAUCCCAUGGCUUUGAAGAUGACGUAGACUGUGGCUUAUCUCUGAAUUUGUUAAGGAUGGUAAAACAAGAGGAGAAGCAAAUCCUACCUCACAAGGAAUCAAUGGAAAUUGUGAGCUCAGAAGGGGGAAAAGAGGUGAAGAUUGAGACUAACAUUGCCACAAAGACAAAGCAUGACCUCGUUGAGUUACUCCAAGAAUUUAAAGAUGUCUUCGCAUGGUCAUACCAGGAUACUCCCGGGUUAAGUACUGGCAUUGUAGUACACUACCUUCUUAUAAAAGAAGAUUGCAAGCCAGUUUAGCAGAAACUCUGAAGGAUGAUGCCUGAUAUUGUGCUAAAAAUAAAAGAAGAAGUUAAAAAGCAAUUUGAUGUUGGGUUCUUACAAGUGGUUAAAUAUUCAGAAUGAGUAGCCAACAUCGUCUCAGUCUCUAAAAAAGAUGGGAAAGUACGAAUGUGCAUAGAUUACAGAGACAUGAACAAGGCCAGCCAAAAAGAAAAUUUCCCAUUGCCUCACAUUGACACUUUGGUGGAUAAUACAGUAGGCUACUCACUGUUUUCCUUCAUGGACGACUUCUCUGGAUACAACCAGAUAAAGAUGCAUCCCAAAAACAUGGGAAAGACUACAUUCGUGACCCUAUGGGGAAUGUUUUGCUAUAAAAUGAUGUCAUUCGGAUUAAAGAAUGUGGGAGCGACGUAUCAAAGGGAAUGGUAACCUUGUUUCAUGACAUGAUGUACAAGGAAAUCGAGGUUUAUGUUGGCGAUAUGAUUGCAAAAUCCAGAACAGAAGAGGAACAUGUGUAGGCCCUAAGAAAAUUAUUCUUAAGACUGAGAAAGUUCCAGCUCAAGCUUUCCAACGAAAUGCACAUUCAGAGCUAGGUUAGGAAAGCUGUUAGGCUUCACAGUUAGUGAAAAAGGAAUCGAGAUCAACCCAGAUAAAGUCAAGGCGAUACGAGAUUUACCUCUACCAUGCACUCAGAAGGAAGCUCGAGGUUUCCUAGGAAGACUGAAUUACAUUGCUCGAUACAUUUCACAACUAACCGAAAAAUGUGACACCAUAUUAAAAUAAAAAUAGAUUAAAUUGUAAGUAAAACAUAAUUUAAACAUAUGAAUACAUCAAAUUAAUAAUACUAAAUGAAUACAGUUAUUUAUGAUGAUGUUGUUGCCAAUUCCUAAUUUGGUGUCUAGUUAAUUUGUGACAUCAUAAAUUUAAGUGAUAAAUUUAAGGUUUUAUGUAUUGAUGUGGAUUCAAAUAUCACCAUAAUUUUUGUAAAUAAAAAACUAAUAAGAUAACUUAUAUUAAGUACGAAAGGGUAUUUUUAUAAUUUCUCUAAUCGAGUUGGUGCCCGGUUGACUCAUGACACUAACUCAAUCAGAAGCUUUAAUAAUAAUAUAGAUAUUCAUGUUAAAAAAACAAAAAAAAAGUACUUUAGUUCCAAAUAAUUAUAUAACAAGUAAAUUUAUAAUUGAUGAAUAAAUUUAUAAAUAAUAUAUUUAUAUGAUCUAAUAUAUUAUAUUUAUAUUAAUUAUAUAUCAUCUACAAACUUUGAAGAUCAAUUUAUUAAGUAAAAAUGAAAUUGUUAACACUAAAUCAAUUUUUAGAUUUUGUAUAGAUGAUUUAGUGAUGAUAAAAACAUUAUUAACACUAUUUUUUAAUUAACAAAAAAUUAGUGAUAUAUUUAAAUUAUAUUUAUCAUUUAUUAUUUUUAAUAAUAUUUUUUAAUUAUAUGAAGUAAAAUUAUAUUGUAUACUAAAUAUGGUACAUAUACUCUAAUUAUAACUUGAAAUUUUAUUAUAUAAAUUAAUAUAAAUUUGAAUAACAAAAUAAAAAAAAACUAAUUAGAAUAAUUUUAAAAAACAUUAUUUAAAAGUAGUUAAAAAUCACGUGCAACAGGUGAGAUCAAUGGUCUUUAGAGAAGAAAUGUUGAAGAUCAAAGUUGGAAUCUGGCCUAUAAGGCCUUUAAUUGCUUUAAUAUUAAGCAGUUCCAAACCAAGAAGAUUACCGAUUUCCUCAGGAAUUUGACCUGCACACAUGGUCGAAAAAUCAAUGUGUCAAACUACCUAUUUUGUUAGCAUAAGUCAAAGAGGUUUUCUUUUCUAUUCUACAUAAUUUGCAGAUGUUAGAUUUUAAUAUUUUUAAGCAUAUUUGUUUUCAUCAAAUUAACUAUUUUGAACUAUUUUGCCUUGAAUGAAAUAAAAUGCUCUUACUUUUGUUAUCUAUUACUAAUCAAACUCUUUUAUAAAAAAAAUACUUUAAACUAAAGAAACCAAGAAAAUUCAAUACCUUCUAGGUUAUUCAACCCCAAAUAUAAUUCUUUGAGUCGUGUCGGAUUUCCAAUACUUCUUGGAAUGAUCCCCAUCAAUUGAUUAUAGGAAAAUGACAAAAUUUUAAGGUUGUUGCAUUUGCUUAUACUUGACGGAAUGUUACCAUAUAAUUCAUUCCGACUCAAGUAAAGCCCUUCAAGCUUGGAAAGAUGUGACACAUAUCAUUAGGCAAGCUACCUGAUAGGCUAUUGUUGGAGAGAUCAAUGGCCUUCAGAGAAGAAAUGUUGAAGAUCGAAGUUGGAAUCUGACCUGUAAGGCCUUUAAUUGCUUUAAUAUUAAGCAGUUCCAAACCAAGAAGAUUACCGAUUUCCUCAAGAAUUUGACCUGCACACAUGGUCGAAAAAUCAAUGUGUCAAACUACCUAUUUUGUUAGCAUAAGUCAAAGAGGUUUUCUUUUCUGUUCUAUAGUAAUUUGGUGAUGUUAGAUUUUAAUAUAAUUCAGCACAUGUUUUUCAUCAAAUGAAAUAAAAAGUUUUUCCUUUUGUUAUCUAUUACAAAUCAAGCUCUUUUAUUAAAAAAAUACUUUAAAUUCAAGAAAUCAAGGAAAUUAAUUACCUUCUAAAUUAUUAAACCCCAAAUAUAAUUCCUGGAGUCGUGUUAGAUUUCCAAUACUUCUUGGAAUGAUCCCCAUAAAUUGAUUAUGGGGCAACAACAAAUUUUUAAGGAUGUUUCAUUUGCCUAUGCUUGACGGAAUGUUACCAGAUAACUCAUUGCUAUGCAAGUGAAGCCCUUCAAGCUCGGGAAGAUGUUGACACAUAUCAUUAGGCAAACUACCUAAUAGGCUAUUCCUGGAGAGAGCAAUAGUCUUGAGAGAAAAAUGUUGAAGAUCGAAGUCGGAAUCUGAUCUGUAAGGCCUUUAAUUGCUUGAAUAUUAAGCAUUUCCAAACUAAAAAGAUUACCGAUUUCUUCAGGAAUUUGACCUGCAGACAUAGUCGAAACAUCAAGGUGUUAAAUUUCCUAUUUUGUUAGUGUAAAUCAAAGAGGCUUUUUAUUUUUUUUCGUUAUGAAAUAAUAUGGAUAUGUUCGAUUCUAAUCAUAUUUAAGUAUAUAUUAGUUCUUGAAAGAAUGAGUUCUUAUUUUUGGUAUUUAUAUUGCAAAUAUAUAUUUUUUUAAAUUUAAAAGAAGGGAGGGGGCAAAUGUGUUUAAACUAAAGACAUCAAGGAAAAGGCAUACCAAGUAUAAUUGUUUAAGUUGUGUCAAAUUCCCAAUGCUUUUUGGAAUGAUCCCACUAAAUUGAUUAAUAGACAAUUCCAAAAUUUGAAGGUUGCAGCAUUUGUCUAUACUUGAUGGAAUAGAACUUGAUAAUUCAUUUCUACUCAAGUAAAGCUCUUUCAGCUUGGGAAGAUGGACACACAAAUCAUCGGGCAAGCCACCAGAAAGACUAUUAUCACAAAAAUGAAUCCUUUUCAAAGAAGAAAUGUUAAAGAUGGAAGAUGGAACCUGGCCAGAUAAUUGAUUGAAUCCCAAGUUCAAGAUCUCUAGAUUGGACAAGUUGACAAGUGUUUGAGGGAUCGUGCCUGUGAAGUUAUUAUUUCUCAUUUCCAACCUUUGAACUCUGUGCAAGUUCCCAAGCCAUGGUGGAAUUUCCCCAUUAAGACGGUUGUAGCUUAAUCGAAUGAUCCUCAAACGAUGCAAUUGGCCUAAUUCUUUAGCCAGAUGGCCGUAGAAAUUGUUGUUGCUCAAGUCGAUAGAAAAUAGAAAUGAAAGAUUUCCAAGGUGUGGAGGGAUAGUACCCCUAAGAUUCAUGUUUGUAAGAUUAAUCAAAGCUACAACUCUUUCAUGGAUGAUGCCACAAGAAACACCAACCCACUUACAGACAGAGGUAGAGUUCGUCCAAUUGUUUGCCAACACAUUUUGAGGAUCGACAAUGCGAUCUUUAAACUCAAAGAGUGCAAACUGAUCGGAGUUGAGAUUCCGGACUGUCAUAGCCAAGGAAACAAUAGAACAUUGUAUGAAUAAAAGUGAAAGAAGAUGAAAGCAAGUGUUGUAGUUCAUGAUGGCAAGACGAAAUAAGCCAGGAAAAGGGAAGUUGAAUUGAUGAAGAAAUAGCCAGCCAACAUGCUUAAAUAGGCUUCAACCCUUGCACACUUCUCAUACAUAAAGUUCGCUGCCAUUACAACAAGAAAACUCAUAUCUCCAUUCGUACCUAUCCAUACUUUAUUUGACUAACUUUUCCCUAACAAGUGUUCAGUAAGGAGAUAAAUCAGUUUGGAGCUAUUCACCGGCUUCUCCAAUCUUGGUUUCAAACUCCUAACCCAUCAAUUCACUUUAAUUGAAACGAUAUACACGAGUCUUUCGGCUUAUAUUUUUAAUUUAAUUUUUGUUACUUUUCAUAAUAUUUUUUGAGAAAUCCAAAUAUUCCAGUCUGAAAUUUCUUCAUUGCCACGUCUAUCUCCUGGGUAAGUCCGUGGUUAGGCAGCCCACUUUGGGAGCAGGAUUGUAAUUGUAAUUCUAUCCGACUCAUUUUACUAUUUAGAAAUAUAAAAGUAAUAUUAUAUUAUUUUUUAUAUUUUUAUAAAUUUAAUUUUAAUUAUAAUUUUUAAACAAUAAAACGAGUCAUUUGUAUUUGCCUAGUCUAAAUUGAAUCAGGAGUCAAAAAAAUUUUAAUCAUAAUUUACUAUUAUUUUAAUUAAUUAAAAUUUAACCUACUACAACUAGUAGUUGCAGAAAAAAUGUCAUUCCUUUAGAAAAACGAAAAUCCUUUAGAAAAAUGAGAACUUAUGAAGCAUUCAAUAAGAGUCAUUGGAAUAAAUGGUAACGAAAUCAUAAUUCAAUAUAAAGCUAAAAAAUGUACCAAUCUAUAUAAAUAAUGUAAGAUUUGUGAUACCUAAAUUAUUAUAUUUUCCAUAAAUAUAUGAAGAUAUUUUAUUAGGAAAUAAUUUUAUAUAUAAAAUUUUUUAUUUUCUUUUGAUAGAAAUUUAAUUAUGUUAUCUGUAGAAAAAAAUAUUUAUAGAAAUAUUAUUAGUAGAAAAUCAUAAAUUUGUGUGUGGCAAAAAAAAUUCACCACCAAGAAAGGGGCAAAUUAAACAACUUGAAACAAGUCAUUGGUUGUUUAAAAUAUUAGAUAAUAAUUUCAGUGAAGAAUCAUUAAAAUUAUGACAAAAUAACCCUAGAUAUUGUAGUAUUAAAUUGGAAAAUCUCAAUAAUAUUAUUAGAGUAAAACCUAUGAUCUAUCUAAACAAGAUAUAGAAGAUUUUGAUAUACAAAUUAAGGUUAGAAAUCAUGCGGAAAUAAAAAAGAAAAAAAAGCUAGUAUGGUCAUUAAUUAUAAAAGAUUAAAUCAAAAUAUUAUUUUUUUAUAGUUACUUGAAUUAAUCAGGCUAAACAAACAAAAUAUUUUAGUAAAUUUGACUGCAAAUCAGGAUUCUAGCAAAUCAUGAUAACAGAAAAGUCCAAACCUUUAACGGCUUUUAGUGCACCCAAUGGACAUUACCAAUGGAAAGUGAUGUCAUUUCAAUUAUGUGAUGCACCACAAAUCUUCCAAAGACGAAUGGAUUUUAUAUUUAAUAAAUAUAAAAAAAUUCUAUGUAGUCUACAUAGAUGAUAUUUUUUAUAUUUUUAGAUACACUAGAAUUACAUAAGAAACAUUUAAAUAUUAUUUCUUAAGAAUUCAUAAAAUAUAGAAUCAUAUUAAACCCUAAAAAUAUAGAGUUAGAAAAAAGAGAGAGAAUUUUUAUAAUAGUGGAAAUAAAAAAUUGUCCUCAAAAGAUUGAAGAAAAAAAGAACUUCCAACAAUUUCUAAUAUAUUCCUCCCAAAUUUUCAGUUUCAAUUUUAUUACAGAAUUUCUUUGCCGACAAUAAGAAAUUAAGAGCGCUCUUUAAGUUGAAUAUAGUCCGUCAGAUAUGGCUAUCUAUAACAUGGAACCUUUGGUUUUCAAGCUGAAUAGGAGAAUUGAUUCACUUGAUAAGUAUGAAAAAUUGAAACUGCUAAAUUUAAGUGCACUAACUCUGGAUAUCAUCAUUAUUUUUCUGUACAUUAAAGUACCUGUUUGAUAUGCGAUUUCUGCCUCAAACUAUCAACAUCUUUAACAUCCUUUUGCUAUAGUUAGCAUGGGUACUUCCUUUUAGAUUAACAGUUAGGUUUGAACUGUGAAUUAGAUUUCUGUGGCUGCUGGGAUUGAAGAAGUUAGUAUGCGAAUGACAUUGGACAAAUUUGGCAAAGUCUUCUCCAUCAGUGAAGAAAACCCCUUGGCGUAUGAAAAAUGUUCACCAUCUUAGACAUUUGUUUUCUUAUUGUAAGAAUAUUUUUAACAUUGUAACUUUUAACAUUAUUGUAAGAAUAUUUUGAAUUAUACUUCAGUUAUCAAUUUAUAUCAUAUAUCUUUUGUUGAAUUUGAAGUAUAAUUUAUAUUUGCUGUUUUUGGUUAGAUUUCAUGCUAUAGGAAGGGUUGUAUAUGGAUAGAAAUUGAAUGUUACAAAUCUGCCAAAGUUAGUGGCGUUUUUUCAUAAGAGCUGCUAAAGAAUGCUAUUUUUGGCGGUGUUUGUAAUAAAAGAGCCGCUAAAGGUCAUGUUCUUUAGCGAUGUUUGUGGGUAAAGCGCCGCUAAAGAUCAUGUUCUGUAGCGGUGUUUGUGGAUAAAGCGCCGCUAAAGAACAUGACCUUUAGCAGCGUAUUUUCACAUAAACGCCGCAAAAUUUAGCGGCUUUGUCUAUAGCGACUUUUUUUGCAGCGCUUUAAGUUUUAGCGGCGCUUUUAGGCCUAAAAAAGGGCCGCUAAAAGCCUGUUUUGCUGUAGUGAGCAUAUUUACAUUUUCGUCCCAAUUUCAACUAACACCCCAUCUAUUUCCCACUUCCCUUUUUCGGGCAAUUUCAACUAACACCUUCAUAUCAAACAUAACUAUUUUUCAAUUUUUCUUCUUUAUUUCAUUAAUAAAAUUAUCAAUCUAUUUGUUUUUAAAUAUAUAAUUUCAUUAAUAUUUUUUAAAUUAUAAUAUAAGAGUUGUUGUUUAUUUAUAGUUUUAUUACAUUAUUUACUCUCUCUUUUCUAUCAAGUUUUUUAAAUUAUAAUAUAAGAUUUAUUUUAUCAAUUUGUGGCUUAUCCAGUAUUCAUCUAUUUUAAUAAUAACUUGAGUUCCAGUCAUUAUCAUACCAGAAAGAGUUCCAUUUAUUCUUUAUCGUAAAUUUUAUAAAAAAAUAUACAUUUUAUUAUAAUACUAUAUGUGUUACGAAUAAUAUUUUAUUGUGGAUGCCCAUAAUUUUCAAAGUUGUAACCUCUAAUGUAGUAACCUUAAUGAAAUUAUGAGGCUUUUAUAUUGUAAUCAAGCCUCUAUUUAUUCUUUGUAACUUAAACAGAAGCAUAUUUUCUAUUAUAUUGAUAUUUUUUAUAGAUAUAUAUAUAUAUAUAAGGAAUCAAAUAAAAAGUUAUUUACCUUUCUAUUAUAUUGAUAUUUUCUAUUUGAUUUGUUCUUUUCUUUCACUAUUCCAUAAUAUAUUAUCAGUACGAUUUUAACCAAGAGUAACAUGUUAUUAGAUUGUGUCAAAAUUUUGUUGAGAAUCAUUAGAUUGUUUCCUUUUUCUUCUAUUUAGCCCCAAAUUGCACCCCUACACAAAAUUCAACAAAAACAUGGAAAAAUUAGUGGUGCACUCUCAUAAAUUAACCAAUUUAAUUACAUAAAAUAUGUAACUUUAGCAUUUUAUCAAUCAUGUUCUUUAGCGGCAUUUGUGGGUAAAGCGCCGCUAAAGGUCAUAUUCUUUAGCAGCGUUUGUGAUAAAAGUGCCACUAAAUAUCAUGUUCUUUAGCGGCGUUUGUGGAUAAAGCGCCGCUAAAGAACAUGACGUUUAGCAGCAUUUUUUUACAUAAACGUUGUAAAAUUUAGCGGCGUUGUCUAUAGCGACGUUUUUUGCGGUGCUUUCAAAUAGUUUUAGCGGCGCUUGUAGGCCUAAAAAAAUGCCGCUAAAAGUCUGUUUUGCUGUAUGAGCAUAUUUACAUUUUCGUCCCAAUUUCAACUAACACCCCAUCUAUUUCCCACUUCCCUUUUUCGGCCAAUUUCAACUAACACCUUCAUUUCAAACGUAAUUGUUUUUCGAUUUUUCCUCUUUAUUUCAUUAAUAAAAUUAUCAAUCUAUUUGUAUUUUAAAUAUAUAAUUUUAUUAAUAUUUUUUAAUUAUAAUAUAAGAGUUUUUGUUUAUUUAUAGUUUUAUUAUAUUAUUUACUCUCUUUUUUCUAUCAAGCUUUUUAAAUUAUAAUAUAAGAUUUAUUUUAUCAAAUGGUGGCUUAUCGAGUAUUCAUCUAUUUUAAUAAUAACUUGAGUUCCAAUCAUUAUCAUACCAGAAAGAGUUCCAUUUAUUCUUUAUCGUAAAUUUUAUAAAAAAAUAUAUAUUUUAUUAUAAUACUAUAUGUGUUAGGAAUAAUAUUUUAUUGUGGAUGCCCAUAAUUUUCAAAGUUGUAACCUCUAAUGUAGUAACCUCAAUGAAAUUAUGAGGCUUUUAUAUUGUAAUCAAGCCUCUAUUUAUUCUUUGUAACUUAAACAGAAGCAUAUUUUCUAUUAUAUUGAUAUUUUUUUAUAGAGAUAUAUACAUAAGGAAUCAAAUAAAAAGUUAUUUACCUUUCUAUUAUAUUGAUAUUUUCUAUUUGAUUUGUUCUUUUCUUUCACUAUUCCAUAAUAUAUUAUCAGUACGAUUUUAAUCAAGAGUAACAUUUUAUUAGAUUGUGUCAAAAUUUUGUUGGACUUCAAGUAUUGGAAUUUAAUUGUUUAAGUUAAGAAUCAUUAGAAUCAAUGGCUAUUUGAGAUAUGCUUGAGGAUGAUCUCAUUCUCUUCAUCACAAAGGUGGAGGUUAGAAAAUCUUUAUGUUUAAACAUUUAUAGCUUUAAAGUUAUUUUAACCUCUUAUUGUGACCUUAUAAUAUUUUGUAAUUUUUUGUAUUAUGGUAUAUAAAAAAAAUCUAACCAUAGUGAUUGAUUAGUAAUAUGAAUUUGUUAUUUGUUAUGUUUAAUAUAUAUUUUAUUUAUACUUAUUCAUUUUAUUUUUAUAUGAGUAAAUGAAGUGUUUGAAGAUUCGAAAUUUUUAUCAUCCAAGUUGAAAAUAAGUGCAAAAGUGUACAUUAUUUAAAAUAAAUUACGCAUUCAUUAAUGUUAUAUGAUAAAAUCAUUACAUGUUCUAAAGAACUAAUAUUGCAUCAAACUGUAAAAAGCUCUUGAAGAGUUAAUAUUUUACCUCCUUGUGAUACAAAAUCAUAUACAAUAUGAUAUUAUUUUUCAAAUCGAGUAGAUAUAUGUUGAGGGAAAUCUUUAUGUGGUUUACAUUAAAACCAUGGAUAGAAAUGACAUGAGAUACUCGUGUAUUUUUAUUAUAAAUAUUCCUUGAAGGAAGACACUUCACUUGUAUGAUUGACAUAUGAGAUAGUGGCAAGAAGUUCAUAGUGUUGGUAUGGUCGUCUAGAUCAUCUCAAAUCAAUAAUGAUGCAAAAUAAUUUGAAGAGAAUUUAUAUGAUUUUAUUGAAGAAUGAGAAGAUAUUUUCAUUUUGAUAAUUGUCAUCAAUACUAGUUCUUUGGAAAAAAAAUAUUGAACUAACAUAAAGUUAGAGGUUGGUUGCAUUUUUUGAUGAUAUCCAAAUAAUAUAUGAGCUCAUGUAUCACAUGUAUGCAACCCAAAGUUUACAGUAUUAUUUCUUGAAAUAAUUUGAUUCUACACAAUCUCUAUAGUAUGCAAUUUGUGCUAACAACGUUGGUGCAUUAUAUCCUAAGCUUGAUUUUCGUAGUUUUAGCUGAGAUAAUAUUAAGUUGUCUAUGCCUAUAUAUGUUAUACUUAAUGGUUAGCAAAAUUGUGCCUCCAUUUAAUUGCUUAACCAUUAAUAUAAGAAUAACUUUAAAAUAAGCAUGUAAUUUUAUUUGCAUAGAGUCAACAUGUAAGAAACAUUUGCCCCAUGAGAAUUGGCUUUCAUUUAUAAGCCAAUAGGUUUCAUAUGACUAUUUGGAUGUAAAAUAUCUAUUUUAUAUUCCACCAUAAUGCACUAAGAUGGUCCAUCAAGUAUGAAGUUGAGAAAAUUUAGAAUUUUUAUUUGAUGGUAAAAGUUGAAAAGAGAUAUAUACUUAUAAUUUUGAAAAAAAUAGUCAUGUUGCAAAUUUUUCUCAAUAUUAGGGGGAGACAAGUUGGACAAAUAAGGAUAAUUAUGUCAUCACUUUUUGUGAUCCCUCACUAAUAUUAUGUGCACAAAGUUUGAAGGAAAAAAGUAUUUGCUAGACAUGUUUAGUGAUGACACUUAGAGAUUGUAUAUACUAGAUGAUACAUAUACCAGCUAAAAUGUUCCAAAUAAUUAUGAGUCCUAGAAGGACAUAGUGAUAAAAAUAAUUUUUGGGCACGCUAGAAGGAUAAAAAACUAGUUCAUUCUAUAAAUCAAAAAAUUCUUGAAAGAAAAGAGUAAGAAAUGAAGCUGGCCACACAUUAAAGGAAACGAGUACUCAUGAAGAGACCUAAGGCAUAACUUUUAAUAAAACCCCAAAAGAGGUUCAAUACAUGGAAUUAUGAAUAUAAUAAGAUAUCUCGAUUAGUUAUAUCAUAACUAAAGAUGAUGGGGUUGAUAAAAGGAAAUUGUUGUUAACAACGAUAAUCUAAGUAGAACAUUUCAAUAUUAUGGUAAAAUGAGUAUUUUGAAUGAAAAUAUACUUGAAAGUAUUUAGAUGGGAACAACUCAUCAAAAUAAAUAGACGUUUCUAUUAUAACUUAUGAAAUGUGUCUCGGACAUGAAGUCCAAACAUUCGACAGGUGUAAAGCCAAGUGGAGUAUAUGUUAGCAUAAUAGUGAAAAAAUACAAAUCAUAAUAUAUAAAAUUGACUUGUAAGACAAACUUUCCCAAGACACUUGAUUUUGAUUAUGAAAAAUGAUUAAUUUGUGAUCUUAUCAAUUGAACAUACUUUGUAUAAUCAACAAAUUAUUAAUUAACCUCAUUUAACCAAUUUCCUUCAACACAUUUCAAAUCAAAUUAAUGUGUUGAGCACGCCCUUAACCCUUUUUCUUGAUUCAUUGCAUAGUCUAUUUCCAAGUACCAUAAUCAUCAACAUUUCAAUAUAUAAAGUCAUAACAUAAUGAAUCAUAGUUAGAAUUUUUUUUACCCUAUUAACCAAGUAUGGAACAAAAAUAAAAACCUAAUUUGUCAAGCUCAUUCAAUCAGCUUAUAUAUUAUAAGAAGAGCCUAAGUAUAAAUCCUAUACAUGAUUUCAAAUUCAACUAUUUAUAUUUGAGAUUCAAUUUAAAAUUCAUACUGAAAUUAUCAAAUUAACUCGUAAGCUACUCACGCUAAACAUUAAGGUACUCGAAUUCAAGUGGCUAGAUAUCAUAAACACUUUUAGCUUGUAAAACUAUUUCUAAGGGUCAGCCCAGAAUCAUGGUUGAACCCAAAAUCUGGUAACAAAAAUUUAAUUGAGCCAUCAGCCUAAAACAAAUAAGGCUUAAAAGGUUGGCACCCGAACAAUCAAAGAUAAACACCACCAUAUGCCACUCCCUGAAUCCGAUACAUACAAUAACACCCUUCACCACUUUUAUUCUUCUCCUUUUUUUUAACCUCAAUUUGGAUGGUCGCAUUUCUCUUUUUAGUGCUUUAUAGGGUUUGGGCUUUCAGAAUCCUCAGAGAUGCAAUUCAUGGAUCCCUCUAAGAAAUGCAAGCUUGAUGAAAAUGGUAUUAUUUCAACGGCAUCAGAACCUGACCCAAUCACCAAACUAACCCCACAAGAUGGCCGCAAGCUAAUCGAGCAAUUUAUCGUCGAUCAACUCCUUGACGUCCUCCAAGAUGCUGUUUGUUGUCACCUUGAUGUUCUUUCCGCCGUACACUCUAUUGCCGAUCAAGAUCCAUCUCAAAGGAAGCUUUUCAUCCGUGGUUGGGUUGGGAUACUACAACCCAACCCAACCCACAUUAGCAUACUACCAUGCGGUAACUUCUAGUGAUUUCUGUCUGUAACAUUAGACAGGUUAACAGUUAAAUCGUUCAACUGAAAGAUUUCUUUGAAGGAAGAGGUCAAUUGAUUUUUUUUGGAAUCAUUGUGUACUCAGUUGCAUUUAAGACGGGUAUCAUUCAUAAAGUAUAUAUCUACAUCAAGAAUGGUAGCCUCUUAUAUUAUAUUCAUGUAUUUAUUUUGCAUCUUUAAUUAUAAUAGGAUUUUUUUUGUUUAUUUAUAGUUUUAAUUAUAAUAUUUUUUAAAUAUGCCAAAGUAAAUUAUGUACCAAUUUUAAACUUCUCCUAGGUAAUUUAACGUAAGGGCAUUUAUGUUAUUUUACCACUUAUGAUAAAACUAACCUAAUUUUAGAUCUAAGUGUUUACCAACCUUCUUUUAGUCAAAUUAUGCAAGCCUAAAAUUUUUAGCUUAAUUUGAGUUUGUUUACUAUGUCUAAUUCAAGUUUUAUUAUUAAGAACUAAAUUGUAACUUAAACAAAUUAGAAUACCAAUUUAAAGAGACAAAAAUUCAAAGCCCCAAAACCCACACGGGCAUGUGGGUAAGUGACACAGGCGUGUGGAAACUGGAGCUAUCACACACGGGUGAGUGGGACUGAAAAAUAUGAAAUAAAUUAAUCCAUUUAAAUUUCCAACAACCAUGCUAUACUACCAAACCAAAUAAUGUUAGAAGCUUUGAAUAGGGGCGAAUCUUAAAAAAAAAUAGAAGAAUUAGAAUUAAAUUAUAAAAUUUUGAGAAGUUGUCAUGUAUUAAUUUAUUAUUUUUUAAAGGGUCUUAAUAGAUUUUUUUUCCCCAUUUUGGUUUGGCCAAUACCCCUGUCUGCCUCUUUCAAUUUGCUUCAACCCUUAGCCCAAUAUUCGAUUUGUUGUGGAAGUUUGACGCAUAAAAAUUCCUUUUUUAGAGGUUUAAAUUAUAAAUUUUUAUUAACAAAAUAUAAAAGAAAAAAACAUGUGUAGACAAGCCAAGAAACCUUUGGGAUCAUACAGGUGAUUUUGAGAUGUUCAUGGUUAUUUUGGUGGAGAGGGUAAAAAAGAAACAAAUGAUUCAUUAUAUAUGAUAUAAUUAUGAAAUUCAAGCCAUAUAUUGUAUGUUUCAUCCAUACAAAUUUCUUGUAGCAUUAAAUGACUCGUAGGCUUGCUGAAUUUCUUUGAAAGGCCCAAAGGCAAUUUAACAUUCACAAAAUAAUCUCUAAAUAGUGUAAAGACAAAUCAAAUCCACAGUAGCAUUAGAGUUGAUUAAGCUAAGCAUUGGCAAAUAUUACUUUGAUUUUGCAUGCAAUAUUGGCAAAACCCCCUCUUACAUUAGAAAAACAACAUAAUCCAUGAAACAUUGAUAGCCCAAUACAAAUUUCAUCGAGAAAAAAGUCUCUUUGUUUUGUAGAACAUGAUAGUAAAGAUGUGGAGUUUCGUUCUUCUUAUUGGCCUCCUUUAGUUUUCCUUGAUCAACAACCACUAGCCAAAAACACAAUUAGAUUAGAUUAUGAAUGAUACUUUCAACUAUGACAAUAUUAAAUACAAACCACUCUAAAUAACUCUAAAUAAAUGGAAAGCAGCAAAUUACCAGACGAGGCAAGCUAGCUCAAUUAAGACCAUUGUGUUAUACUUGUCUCUGAAUUGAAAAAUUUAGAAGGAAAUAAAGAGAAAGACUUAGAAAAUACUUGAAAACAGAAAAAAAAAUUAUGUCAUUUAAAAUAAAAAAUUUCUAUUCAAGCCAUUUAAAAUUUGUAAGAUUUUUAAAAUUUUAAAAUGAUAAAGGUAAAAUUGUACUUUGGCACCCCAAAAAUGAUAAAACUUUGAUUUAAUUAUUUAAAAAUUAUAAAAAUAUAGGCUAUUAAAAUGGUGAAAUUAUAUUUUUACUAUAGUAAAAAUUACAAUUUAAUUUCACCCCUAAAAGGAUUUUCUGGCUUCGCACCUAAUAAAAUCUUUGGCAAAAGACUAAAAUAAAAUUAUACCAUGAAUGGAAAAAGAAACUAAUAAAAUCCAAUCUAACAAAGAAAAUAACUUGAUGUCCAAAAGCUACCAUAAACCGUAAUUCAUGGGAAGGCUUGUUGCUUAUUUUAUUGGUUUCCAUUUUGAAAGAAGUUUGAAUUUUGAAGAGAGCCUACUACGUGAAAGCAAAAGAAAAAAAAAUAGUUUAUAUGAUUAAAAUUCCAGAAUAGAUUAAAAAUGUUGAAUUAAAGAUAAAAUUAAGUGUGAAUUAAUAACCACAAGUGUACUCUUUACUCACCAUCUCUGUUAAAAAUGUUGGAUGUUGUUUAGCAACCUUUGUUUGAUUUUCUUCAGCUCAACCACAACAUCUUUCAUAUCUUUUCUUUCUUCUGGUAACUCAGCUGAACAAUUCAAAGCCAACUCCAUGAUAGAUGAAAUACAAUUUGCUUUAACAACAAUGUACUCAUCCUCUCUUCUUAAUAAAUCAACAUCUGCAAUUUCUAUCGCUCCUUUAGGCAAUGAUCUUUCCAUCCAAUGCCUUAUACUCUCUUCUUCAACAAAAACCUUAUCAGUUGGCUUUUUCUUUGUGAAAGUUUCUAUAAGGACGAUCCCAUAACUAUAGACGUCAGAUUUUAUAGAAACAAUUCCUGCUGAUCCAAAUUCUGCAUUUCAAGUAUAAUUAGAACAUCAUUCAUCCUCAAUUAUUUCUAAAACGCUUAUUCAAAUAUCUAUCCACAUACACGUGAAACAAAAAUAUAAAAUACAAAUUAGGAAAAUAAUCAUACAAAAAUAAAAAAAAGAAUUCACCUGGUGCCAUAUACCCAAUAGUUGCAAGAGUCAUGGUUUGCUUCAUUACUUCACCUUCUCCCAACAAUUUGGCAACGCCAAAAUCUCCAACAUGUGCAACCAUGUCUUCAUCUAGUAAAAUAUUGCUUGGUUUUAUGUCACAAUGAAUUAUAGGUGUUGGAUGUCCAUUGUGGAGGUGUUCUAUAGCUACCGCAACAUCUAUCAUUAUGUCGACCCUUUGUAUGAUACCAAGGAAACAAUUUUCAGAAUGUAACCAUUUCUCAAGGUUUCCAUUAGACAUGUAAUCAAGCACCAAGGCUUUGAAGUCAACACUUGAGCAGUAAGUAAUGACCUUCACAAUAUUACGAUGAACUAUAUUAAGCAUAGCAUCACAUUCAAUGUCAAAACUCCUAAAUGCUCCCUCUGUUUGCAAAUUGAAAACUUUUAUUGCAACUUCCAUUCCAUCUGAAAGCCUCCCUUUAUAUACAUAUCCAAAACUCCCUGAACCAAGCGUAUUGCUUUCCUCAAAUCCAUUAGUUGCUCGUGAAAGUUCAGCAUGUGAAAUUCUUCUCAGUGUCUUCAAAGACAACAAAUCAUCUUUAACUGGUAGAGCUGUACUCCUUUGGCAUCUUCUAUACAUAAUAGUUAAGACUAUUAGUACUAGGACAAUACCAAUUGUUGGUAAACCAUACCUAAAAGCAUGCAAUAUAAUCAUUUGGGAGUUUUUGUGGAUGUCAUUUUUGCAAGGUGGGACUAGCAAUCUAGGUGGACCACAAAGUGCACAAUUAUUCAUGAAUGAUGUGCUAGAAAAGUUUGAAAAACAUCCUUUGCUGGGAAUUUCCCCUUCAAGUCUAUUGAAAGACACAUUAAAAUACUUUAGAUAUAAAAGCUUUUCCAAAGAUUUGGGAAUGACUCCAGAGAGAUUGUUAUUGCAUAAAUCCAAGAAUUCCAAACUAAUCAACCCUUCAAAUGAUUCAGGGAUAUGACCAUAUAGUAUGUUAUUUGAUAAAUCUAAUGAAACCAAAGUUAUAAGACCCCCAAAUGUGGAUAAGAUAUCGCUCGUGAGAAGAUUCCUUGAUAAAUUUAGUCUCAGUAGACUCCUAAAAUUUCCAACAUCAAUAGCAUGUGAAUUGUGAAGACGGUUUGAUGAUAAAUCUAUUUCUAAGAUAUCUUUAAGACUCCACAAAGUUGAGGGUAUUGUAGAACUCAAUUUGUUGGAACCUAACCAAAGAUAUCUCAAAGCAGAAAUAUUACCUAAACAAGAGGGUAUGGAUCCAUGCAGCUUAUUCAACCCUAAAUACAUCUCGUAUAGUCUCUCCAAACCACAAAGGCUUUCUGGGAUAGGCCCUCCUAAUUUAUUAGAGGAAAGACCUAGAAUUUGGAGAUUUCUCAUUCCUCCUAUUGAUGCUGGAAUCAAUCCACUUAAUUUAUUAUACCCAAGAUCUAAAAGCAAUAGGUUGGUUAAGUUACCUAUUUCCAUAGGAAUAAUGCCUUGAAGCUCACACUCUGUGGCAUGAAAGUAUUGAAGGGAUUUUGAAAGGUUCCCGAAAUAAGUAGGAAGAACGCCACUCAAUGGAUUUCCUGAAACAUCUAUUAUGCUCAAAUUCCUACAAUUCGUCAAAGAAGAAAGAAAGCUCCACUCAUGAUCAGUAGCAGAUCCUGUGAUCAAAUUAUUGUCAUAGAUUUGGAGCCAUACAAGUUGUCUUAAGCUGCCAAGCGUUUUAGGGAUUGGGCCAGAGAAUGAGUUAUCUCCCAAGUCUAGUUCCUUAAGCAUGGAAGCAUUGGAGAUAGAGUUGGGAAUGUUUCCGCUAAGUUUAUUUCCCCACAGUAAAAGAAUCUGAAGCUUUGGAGCAUUGGUAAUGGGUGGUAAAUUACCUGUAAAAUAGCAUCUUUUAGAAAACAUUCACAAAAUAUAUAAUACAUUAAAAUAAAAACUUUAAAUCAAUUAAGAAUAAAAUUUUGGCAUGGAAAAAUGUGAUGAAAUCAAUUAGAAAGUUGAGACAUAAUAAGAAGUUUUGAGUAGUAAUUAGUCCUUGUGAUUUGUAUAGACAAAACAUAUAAUACACUGAUAAUUUUUUUAAAAUAUUGUAAAACCUGAAAUAAAAUAAAAAAUAAAAGUUUGGCACGAGAAUGUGGCAUCUAAUCAUUCUUAAAAAUAAGACUAACAUUAAAUAAUAAUUAGUUAUGAUUUGAGAAACAAAAAUGUUAAAGAUGUAAACUGGUAUGAUUUUUAUCUAUUGGGUUAAUUAUUUAUUUUUAUUAAAUUAUAUAUAGUGUAAAAUUUAAAGAUUAUUAUUUGCUCAAAAUUUUUGUAUUUUAGGAUUUUAGGAUCGCAUUUAAUUCAAUUGUAUUUAAGACCUCAUGAAUUUAUUCUAUAAUUUGAGUCUUUUCAACCUUUUGGGAAAUAAUAAAACAUCGACAUUAAACUUGUUGUUGAUGCAUUCAAUUUGAUUUUUUGAGGGGUCAUUGGAGUUAUAUGUGAAUUUAGCAUUGAUUGACUUUUUUAGAAUUAAUCUUUUAUACCAAUUUAAUAACAUCGACAUGUUUUUGGGUAGGGUCGAGCAAAACCCAAUUAAAACCGAUGAAAUUGGUUUAGUUAACUCGGUCAAGUCCAUUAGAUGGAUAAAAUCAAUUUUAAAAUCAGUUAUUAUGGAUUAAGGUAAUUAAUUAUCGAGUAAUGAAAUACAUAAUCAAAUCAAUUGAUUUUGUUAGAAACUAAAAGAAAGUGGGAUAAGCUGAAAACUGAUUGCCCUUUUUUAGAAUUAAGGAAUCAGCCUUUUACAUGUUAGAUAAUAUGAACACCCCAUAUAUAAUAAGAAAAAUUAUGUACGAUUAUUUAUUAUCAUAAAUGGUUAGUUUAAAUUUAAAGUAAUCUAAUAUGUGUGUUGAACUUCAACUAUUACAUAAAGUAUAAGCUAAAUAUGUAUAAAUAUUCUAGAAACCAUUUCUAACUGAUGAUAGGCUAAUUUGAAAUUAAGAUUAAUAUAUAAAAACUAGAUAGUAGGGUUAUAGUCCUCAAACUACACCUAAUUUAAUAAAAUCUAUAGUUUUUAUAGCCUUAAACAUUUAUAGAUUUUGUUAAUUUGGUCCUUACUCUUUAAAAUUACAUAAAAAUUGCAAAAAUAUUUUAGAAAUACAAUUUUUUCGUAUUUUUAAUAACAUUUAUAGUUUUUUUUUUGGUUUGGUAACUUAUCAACUCGACUCUUAAUUGUAACCAACUUUUCUGAUUUUUUCGUACCCUUAACCUAAGUCCCGUUACAACUUUCUAAAGACCUCUUGAUUGGUGUAUCAUCUCGAUUUGUUCUUAUAGUGGUGGGGAUUUGGUUUUCAAGCAAGCCUAUGCUAAUCACAUUUUUCGUUCAACUAUUGAGCACACAGUACUUGAACCUUAAACACUUUGAGUGCUUUGAGUGAAUCUUAGUUAGGGUAUUGAUUAUUGUUGAGUUUGAAUUUUAGGUAAUUAUUGAGAUGGAGGAGAUGCCUAUUUUUUUGUGCUUUACAAAUUUCUGCUUAGAUUGCUUUUAUUCUUUAGUUUCAUGCUAGUUUCAAUUUCCAGUGCAUGAUUAUCUAUAGAUUAUUCAUAAGGCAUUGUCGGUGAAAACAAUAAAUUGAGGGAGAUUAACUUGAAAUAAAUUGAGGGAUAUUAACUUGAAUAAAGGUUGAGAAUUUUGCUUAAGGACAAACAAAUGCUUAAGUGUGGGGAUAUUUGAUAAGUGCUAAAAUUGAUAUGUUUUAACAUCAUUCUUAAUGUGUUUUUGGUUGAUUAUUCGAUGUUAAUGAUGCUCCUAAUCCUUACAAUUCGUGUUUUUAUGCUUAAUAGAACAUUUGGGAGGAAAAUGAGCUAAAAAUGAACGAAAACCUGAAAAUGGGGGCAAACUAUAGGACAUGGGCUGACCUAUUCCUCAUGACCGUAUGACUCACACGAUCAUGUGGUAGGUUGUGUCGAUUUCGUAGAUUUGCACUCUGAACUGUAAAAAAAGAAAAUUUUAGAUUUUUUGAGCAUUUUAAUACGUAUAUAUGAAAAAAAUAAGAAGAUAGGAGAGAACCUUCCUAGAAUAUUUAAGAAAACAACUCCAAAGACACUAUUGAAGUCGACUCUGAAGCAAAUUUUCCUCAAGAUUGAAGAUUCCCAGUUGGUUUCUUAAGAGAUUAUCAUGAGUUUCUUUAUUUCUUCUGGUUAUACUGCCCUUUGGAUGUUUUUAUUUUUAAGCAUGAACUAAUUUUCUAAAUACCGAAUUAGAGAGAUGAACCCUAUGAUAGAUUGUGACACCCCAAACCCAACCGGAUAGACCCGCCCGAAUUCAAAGCAUUUCAUUAGCCACCUAAGUGACUCUCCAGCUAACGACCACCCAAGACACACCUCGACCUUAUAACACCUCAAUCUUAUCUAAUUACUAGUUAUUUAUUAAUGUAGAAGUAAAUUAAUAUGAGCCAAUUUUAAACUUUUUCUAGGUAAUUUAACCUAAAGGCAAUUUUGUCAUUUUACCACCUAAUGUAAAACUAACCCGAUUUUAGAUCUAAGUGUUUACUAACCUUCUUUUAGUCAAAUUAUACAAGCCUAAAAUUUUCAGCUUAAUUUGAGUCCGUUUACUAUGUCUAAUUCAAGUUUUAUUAAUAAGGACUCAAUUGUAACUUAAACAAAUUAAAAUACCAAUUUAAAGAGACAAAAAUUCAAAACUCCAAAACCCACACGGGCAUGUGGGUAAGUGACAAGGGCUUGUGGGAUUGAAAAAUAUGAAAUAAAUUAAUCCACUCAAUUUUCCAACAACCAUGCUAUACUACCAAACCAAAAAAACACUUGAAGUUUUGAAUAGGGGCGAAUCUAAAAAAAAUUAGAAGAAUUAGAAUUAAAUUAUAAAAUUUUGAGAAGUUAAAAUAUAAUUUUAUCAUGUAUUAAUUUAUUGUUUUUUAAAGGGUCCUAAUAUAAUUUUUUUCCCAUUUUGGUUGGGCCAAUACCCCUGCCUGCCUCUUUAAAUUUGCUCCAACACUAAACCCAAUAUUCGAUUUGGAUUAACAACAACAUAUAGGUUAGUAUUUGUGGGAGUUUGACGAAUAAAAAUUCCUUUUUUAGAUGUUUAAAUUAUAAAUUUUUGAAAGAUUAAAAUAAAUUUGUAUUUUUUUAUUAACAAAAUAUAAAAGAAAAAAAAAUAUGUUUAGACAAGCCAAGAGAACUUUGGGAUCAUACAGGUGAUUUUGAGAUGUUAAUGGUUAUUUUGGUGGACAGCGUAAAAAAGAAACAAAUGAUUCAUUAUAUAUAAUAUAAUUAUGAAUUUCAAGCCAUAUAUUGUAUGUUUCAUCCAUAAAAAUUUCAUGGGAGGUCCAAAGGUAAUUAAAUGACUUGUAGGCUUGCUGAAUUUCUUUGAAAGGCCCAAAGGCAAUUUAACAUUCACAAAAUAAUCUCUAAAUACUGUAAAGACAAAUCAAAUCCACAGUAGCAUUAGAGUUGAUUAAGCUAAGCAUUGGCAAAUAUUACUUUGAUUUUGCAUGCAAAAUUGGCAAAACCCCCUCUUACAUUAGAAAAACAACAUAAUCCAUGAAACAUUGAUGGCUCAAUACAAAUUUCAUCGAGAAAAAAGUCUCUUUGUUUUGGAGAACAUGAUAGUAAAGAUGUGGAGUUUCGUUCUUCUAAUUGGCCUCCUUUAGUUUUCCUUGAUCAACAACAAUUAGCCAAAAACACAGUUAGAUUAGAUUAUGAAUGAUACUUUCAACUAUGACAAUAUUAAAUACAAAACACUCUAAAUAAAUGGAAAGUAGCAAAUUAAGACCAUUGUGUUAUACUUGUCUCUGAAUUGAAAGAUUUAGAAGAAAAUAAAGAGAAAGAGUUAGAAAAUACUUGAAAACAGAUAAAACUUAUAUGUCAUUUAAAAUAAAAAAAAUUUCUAUUUAAGCCAUUUAAAAUUUUUAAGAUUUUUUAAAUUUUAAAAUGAUAAAGGUAAAACUAUAUUUUGGUACCCAAAAAUGAUAAAACUUUGAUUUAAUUCUUUAGAAAUUAUAAAAAUAUAGGCUAUUAAAAUGGUGAAAUUAUAUUUUUACUAUAUUAAAAAUUACAAUUUAAUUUCACUUGCUAAAAGGAUUUACUGGCUUCGCCCCUAAUAAAAUCUUUGGCAAAAGAUUAAAAUAAAAUUAUACCGUGAAUGGAAAAAGAAACUUAAGAAAACCCAAUCUCACAAAGAAAAUAACUUGUCCAAAAGCUACCAUAAACCGUAAUUCAUGCGAAGGCUUGUUGCUCAUUUUAUUGGUUUCCAUUUUGAUUUUGCAAAAGAAGUUUGAAUUUUGAAGAGAGCAAAAGAAAAAAAUAGUUUAUUAAUUUUUUACGAAUACCGACAUAUUAUAUACAUGAUUAAAAUUCCAGAAUAGAUUAAAAAUGUUGAAUUAAAGAUAAAAUUAAGUAUGAAUUAAGAACCACAAGUGUACUCAUUACUCACCAUCUCUGUUAAAAAUGUUGUUUAGCAACCUGUGUUUGAUUUUCUUCAGCUCAACCACAACAUCUUUCAUAUCUUUUCUUUCUUCUGGUAACUCAGCUGAACAAUUCAAAGCCAAUUCCAUGAUAGAUGAAAUACAAUUUGCUUUAACAACAAUGUACUCAUCCUCUCUUCUUAGUAAAUCAACAUCUGCAAUUUCUAUUGCUCCUUUAGGCAAUGAACUUUCCAUCCAAUGCCUUACAGUCUCUUCUUCAACAAAAACAUUAUCAGUUGGCUUUUUCUUUGUGAAAGUUUCUAUAAGGACGAUCCCAUAACUAUAGACGUCAGAUUUUAUAGAAACAAUUCCUGCUGAUCCAAAUUCUGCAUUUCAAGUAUCAUUAGAACAUCAUUCACCCUCAAUUAUUUCUAAAAUGCUUAUUCAAAUAUAUAUCCGCAUACACAAGAAACAAAAAUAUAAAAUGCAAAUUAGGAAAAUAAUCGUACAAAAACAAAAAAGAAUUCACCUGGUGCCAUAUACCCGAUAGUUGCAAGAGUCAUGGUUUGCUUCAUUACUUCACCUUCUCCCAACAAUUUGGCAACGCCAAAAUCUCCAACAUGUGCAACCAUGUCUUCAUCUAGUAAAAUAUUGCUUGGUUUUAUGUCACAAUGAAUUAUAGGUGUUGGAUGUCCAUUGUGGAGGUGUUCUAUAGCUACCGCAACAUCUAUCAUUAUGUCGACCCUUUGUAUGAUAUCAAGGAAACAAUUUUCAGAAUGUAACCAUUUCUCAAGGUUUCCAUUAGACAUGUAAUCAAGCACCAAGGCUUUGAAGUCAACACUUGAGCAGCAAGUAAUGACCUUCACAAUAUUACGAUGAACUAUAUUAAGCAUAACAUCACAUUCAAUGUCAAAACUCCUAAAUGCUCCCUCUGUUUGCAAAUUGAAAACUUUUAUUGCAACUUCCAUUCCAUCUGAAAGCCUCCCUUUAUAUACAUAUCCAAAACUCCCUGAACCAAGCAUAUUGCUUUCCUCAAAUCCAUUAGUUGCUCGUGAAAGUUCAGCAUGUGAAAUUCUUCUCGGUGUCUUCAAAGACAACAAAUCAUCUUUAACUGGUAGAGCUGUACUCCUUUGGCAUCUUCUAUACAUAAUAGUUAAGACUAUUAGUACUAGGACAAUACCAAUUGUUGGUAAACCAUACCUAAAAGCAUGUAAUAUAAUCAUUUGGGAGUUUUUGUGGAUGUCAUUUUUGCAAGGUGGGACUAGCAAUCUAGGUGGACCACAAAAUGCACAAUUAUUCAUGAAUGAUGUGCUAGAAAAGUUUGAAAAACAUCUUUUGCUGGGAAUUUCCCCUUCAAGUCUAUUGAAAGACACAUUAAAAUACUUUAGAUAUAAAAGCUUUUCCAAAGAUUUGGGAAUGACUCCAGAGAGAUUGUUAUUGCAUAAAUCCAAGAAUUCCAAACUAAUCAACCCAUCAAAUGAUUCAGGGAUAUGACCAUGUAGUAUAUUAUUUGAUAAAUCUAAUGAAACCAAAGUUUGAAGACCCCCAAAUGUGGAUAAGAUAUCGCCCAUGAGAAGAUUCCUUGAUAAAUUUAGUCUCAGUAGACUCCUAAAGUUUCCAACAUCAAUAGCAUGUGAAUUGUGAAGAUGGUUUGAUGAUAAAUCUAUUUCUAAGAUAUCUUUAAGAUUCCACAAAGUUGAGGGUAUUGUAGAACUCAAUUUGUUGGAAUCUAACCAAAGAUAUCUCAAAGCAGAAAUAUUACCCAAACAAGAGGGUAUGGGUCCAUGCAGCUUAUUCAACCCUAAAUACAUCUUGUAUAGUCUCUCCAAACCACAGAGGCUUUCUGGGAUAGGCCCUUCUAAUUUAUUAGAGGAAAGAUCUAGACCUUGCAGAUUCCGCAGUCCUCCUAUUGAUGCUGGAAUGAAUCCACUUAAUUUAUUAUGGUCAAGUUCUAAAACCAAUAAGUUGGUUAAGUUACCUAUUUCCAUAGGAAUAAUGCCUUGAAGCUCACAAUUAUAGGCAUGAAAGGAUUGAAGGGAUUUUGAAAGGUUCCCAAUAUAAGUAGGAAGAACGCCACUCAAUGGAUUUCCUGAAACACCUAUUUUUCUCAAAUUCCUACAAUUCGUCAAAGAAGAAAGAAAGCUCCACUCAUGAUCAGUAGCAGAUCCUGUGAUCAAAUUAUUGUCAGUGAUUUUGAGCACUUCAAGGUGUUUUAAGCUGCCAAGCAUUUUAGGGAUUGGGCCAGAGAAUGAGUUAUCUUCCAAGUCUAGUUUCUUAAGCAUGGAAGCAUUGGAGAUAGAGUAAGGAAUGUUUCCGCUAAGUUUAUUUCCCCACAGUAAAAGAAUCUGAAGCUUUGGAGCAUUGGUAAUGGGUGGUAAAUUACCUGUAAAAUAGCAUCUUUUAGAAAACAUAUUCAUUGAAUACCAAAUUCACAAAAUAUAUAAUACAUUAAAAUUAAAACUUUAAAACUUUAAAUCAAUUAAGAAUAAAAUUUUGGCAUGGAAAAUUGUGAUGAAAUCAAUUAGAAAGUUGAGACAUAAUAAGAAGUUUUGAGUAGUAAUUACUCAUGAUUUCCAUAGACAAAACAUAUAAUACACUGAUAAUUUUUUUAAAAAUAUUGUAAAACCUGAAAUAAAAUAAAAAAUAAAAGUUUGGCAUGAGAAUGUGGCAUCUAAUCAUUCUUAAAAAUAAGACUAACAUUGAAUAAUAAUUAGUUAUGAUUUGAGAAACAAAAAUGUUAAAGAUGUAAACUGGUAUGAUUUUUAUCUAUUGGGUUAAUUAUUUAUUUUUAUUAAAUUAUAUAUAGUGUAAAAUUUAAAGAUUAUUAUUUGCUCAAAAUUUUUGUAUUUUUCGUAUAUUUGAAAUUUAAUCUUUAUAUUUUUUAUUUUCUGUGAUUUAGUCUCUCUACUUUUUGAAUUGAAAAUUUUAAGUUUAUUUAUUAACACUGUUAAAAAGUUUUUGUGUUAGUAUGGCAUUUUGAAAAAUAAAAUAAACUUGAUAUCUAUGUUUUUAAUUAUUCCAAAUACUGUUUUACUAUUCCAAGAUAAAUUAUUUGUGUCUAGACCAAUAUCUUAAGAACUAUUGUUGCAUGUUUAAUUAUUCUAAAGAAUUGUUGAUUGAGUCUUAGUUGAAGUGCACUAUUCUCCUAUUUAUGAAUUGGGGAGUUGAUAAAGUACUAAAUUUUGAUAUAUUUUAAAAAAUUAAAAAUUUAUUAAAAUAUUUUUAUAAAAAUUAAUUGUACCAAAAUAUACAAUUUUAAUAUCAAAUUUUUAAUUUUUUUAAAAAUAUUAGCGAAUAUAUACUUUAUUUCAAGUUACACAAUUUUUACUAGUUUUUAACUUUUUUUUUAAAUUUUUAUCGUCUUUUAUAAUUUCAUAUAUUUUUUUAUAAUUUUUUACAAUAUUUACAAUUUCUAACAAUUUUUAAUAAUUUUAUUAUUUAUUAUAAAUUUAAAAAUUAACAAAUUUUUAUUUUUUUAAAACAAUUAUAUAUUUAUAAUGUAGUUAUUUUUUUAUAAUUUUUUUUGAAAUUUAAAGAUUUUUUUGGUUUUUUCUAGAUGAUGAUGCCAUCAUGAUGUCAUCAUAUGCCACAUGGCAAUUUAUAAUUAGUUGACUAUCUCAAUCUAUUUUUUUAACGUCCAAUGGACUAAAACAAGAACACCUGAUAAUGUUAGAGACUACACUAGGAAUGUUUGAUAAUAUUAGGUACUAAAGUGGGCAAAAAAAAUUAAGGACUAUAUUAAAAAUAUAUCUAUAAUAUAUAUAAAUGCAUGGAUUUUGAGAAACUUUUGAAAUGACAAAUAUAUAGUCUUUGUUUUUUUUUACUAUAUUAUUGAAUUUUUUAUUUUAAAUAUUUUUUUAUUACUUUUAAGAUUUAUCAUAUGUAUGGAUAAAAAUUUUGGUUUUACUAAAAUAUUUGGUUAAAUAAAUUCACUUUAUAAAAAAAUUUAGCAUCCUUAUAAAUAACAAUUUUGAUUCCAUUAAAAAAAUUAUUUAAAAAUAUAUAAUAAAAAUUUAAAAUUUAUAUUGAAUCACUUUAUACUUAAAUUAUUAUUAGAAACUUUAUCAUACACAUAUGUGUAUGAGAACCACGUUUUCAGAACUUAAAUUUGUGUUCUAAAAUAACUUAUGAUAAAUAAUUAAAUGUAUAAUUUGAAAUUAUAUUGAAAUAAAAAUAGAUUAAAUUGUAAGUAAAACAUAUAUAAUUUAAACAUAUGAAUACAUCAAAUUAAAAAUACUAAAUGAAUACAUUUAUUUAUGAUGAUGUUGUUGUCAAUUCAUAAGUUGGUGUCGAGUUAAUUUGUGACAUCAUAAUUUUAAGUGAUAAAUUUAAGGUUUUAUGUAUUGAUGUCGAUUCAAAUAUCACCAUAAUUUUUUUAAAUAAAAAACUAAAGCACCCUCAAAUAAUAUAACUUAUAUUAAAUAUGAAAGGGUAUUUUUGUAAUUUCUCUAACGAGUUGGUGCCCGGUUGACUCAUGACACCAACUCAAUCAAAAGCUUCAAUAAUAAUAUAGAUAUUCACGUUUAAAAAAAGUACUUUAGUUCGAAAUAAUUAUGUAACAAGUAAUUUUAUAAUUGAUGAAUAAUUUUAUAAAAAUAUAUUUAUAUGAUCUAAUAUAUUAUAUUUAUAUUAAUUAUAUAUCAUCUACAAACUUUGAAGAUCAAUUUAUUAAGUAUCAGGAAAAGAAAAAAUGAAAUUGAAUUAACACUAAAUCAAUUUUUAGAUUUUGUACAGAUGAUUUAAUGAUGAUAAAAACAUUAUUAGCACUAUUUUUGAAUUAACAAAAAAUUAGUGAUAUAUUUUAAUUAUAUUUUUUAUUUUUUAUUUUUAAUAAUAUUUUUUUAAUUAUAUGAAGUAAAAUUAUAUUGUAUACUAAAUAUGGUACAUAUACUUUAAUUAAAACUUGAAAAAGUAUUAUAUAAAUUAAUAUAUUUUAAUUAUAUUCAACCAUUUGAAUAACAAAAUUAAAAAAAAACUAAUUAGAAUUAUUUACUUUUUAAAGUUUAAUGGAAAAUAAAAAAUAAAAAAUAAAUCAAUUCAUAUAAAUCUUAUUGUUUAUUAUCAGAUUAAAAUGAUAAAAGUAUAUGACAUACAUAGAAGAAACAAAUUCAACACCAUGUUUUUGGAGUUUGGAAAAAAUUAAAGUGAAAAACCUACCUUCUAAACUGUUGUUAAAUAGAUCUAUUUCUUCGAGCGUAGUUGAAUUAAAAAUACUUGAUGGAAUCUGACCUGCACACAUAGUCGAAAAUUGAAGUGAAAUCAAACUCUUUUGUGAAAAAAAUAUUACCAGAUAAUUCAUUCCAACCCAGGUAAAGCCCUUCAAGCUUGGGAAGAUGUUGACACAUAUCAUUAGGCAAACUACCUGAUAGGCUAUUGUUGGAGAGAUUAAUGGUCUUCAAAGAAGAAAUGUUGAAGAUCGAAGUUGGAAUCUGACCUAUAAGGCCUUUAAUUGCUCUAAUACUAAGCCUUUCCAAACUAAGAAGAUUACCAAUUUCCUUAGGAAUUAGACCUGCAGACAGUCGAAAAUUCAAUGUUUUUCAGCAUAUGUUUUUCAUCAAAUGAAAUAAAAAGUUCUUCCUUUUGUUAUCUAUUACAAAUCAAACUCUUUUAUAAAAAAAAUACUUUAAAUUCAAGAAAUCAAGGAAAUUGAUUACCUUCUAGAUUAUUAAACCCCAAAUAUAAUUCUUGGAGUCGUGUUAGAUUUCCAAUACUUCUUGGAAUGAUCCCCAUAAAUUGAUUAUAGGACAACGACAAAAUAUUAAGGUUGUUGCAUUUGCCCAUGCCAAAUGGAAUGUUACUAGAAAACUCAUUGCUAUCCAAGUAAAGCCCUUCAAGCUUGGGAAGAUGUUGACACAUAUCAUUAGGCAAACUACCUGAUAGGUUAUUGUUGGAGAGAUCAAUGGUCUUCAAAGAAGAAAUGUUGAAGAUCGAAGUUGGAAUCUGACCUGUAAAGCCUUUAAUUGCUUUAAUAUUAAGCAUUUCCAAACUAAGAAGUUUAAAUCAAUUAAGAAUAAAAUUUUGGCAUGGAAAAAUGUGAUGAAAUCAAUUAAAAAGUUGAGACAUAAUAAGAAGUUUUGAGUCGUAAUUAGUCCUUCUGAUUUGUAUAGACAAAACAUAUAAUACACUAAUAAUAAUUAGUUUGGCAUGAGAAUGUGGCAUCUAAUCAAUCUUAAAAAUGAGAUGACACUGAAUAAUAAUUAGUUAUGAUUUGGGAAACAAAAAUGUUAAAGCCAUUGCUUUUAAUGUAAACUAGUAUGAUUUUUAUCUAUUGGGUUAAUUAUUUAUUUUUAUGAAAUUAUAGUGUAAAAUUUAAAGAUUAUUUUUAUCUAUUACAAAUCAAACUCUUUUAUGAAAAAAAUAUUUUAAAUUAAAGAAACAAAGAAAAUUCAAUAUCUUCUAAGUUAUUCCACUCCAAAUAUAAUCUUCAGUGAAGAAAUCUUGAAGAUGGAAGAUGGAACCUUACCAGAUAAUUGAUUGAAUCCCAAGCUCAAGGACUCUAGAUUAGACAUGUUAACAAGUGUUUCAGGGAUUGUGCCUAUAAAGUUAUUAUUUUUCAUUUUCAGCCUUCGAACUCCCUGUAAGUUCCCAAGCCAUGAUGGAAUUUCCCCAUUAAGACUGUUGUAUUUUAAUCGAAGGAUCCUCAAACGAUGCAAUUGGCCCAAUUCUUUAGGGAGAUGGCCAUAGAAAUGGUUUCUACUCAAGUCGAGAGAGAGUAGAAAUGAAAGAUUUCCAAGGUGUGGAGGGAUACUACCCCUAAGAUUCAUGCUUUUAAGUUUGGAAACAAAUUCAACACAAUGUUUUUGGAGUUUGGAAAAAAUUAAAGUGAAAAACAUACCUUCUAAUUUGUUGUCAGAUAGUCCUAUUAUUUCGAGCAUAGUUGAAUUAAAAAUACUUGAUGGAAUCUGACCUGCACAUAUAGUUGAAAAUUGAAGUGAAAAACAUACCUUCUAAACUGUUCAACUAAAAAAACUUUAAGCAUAUUUGUUUUUCCAUCAAAUUAACUAUUUUGCCUUGAAUGAAAUAAAAUGCUCUUACUUUUGUUAUUUAUUACUAAUCAAACUCUUUUCUAAAAAAAAACUUUAAAUUAAGAAACUAAGAAAAUUCGGUACCUUCUAGGUUAUUAAACCCUAAAUAUAACUUCUGGAGUCGUGUUAGAUUUCCAAUACUUCUUGGAAUGAUACCCAUAAAUUGAUUAUAGGACAACGACAAAUUUUUAAGGUUGUUGCAUUUGCCCAUGCCAAAUGGAAUGUUACCAGAUAAUUCAUUCCAACUCAGGUAAAGCCCUUCAAGCUUGGGAAGAUGUUGACACAUAUCAUUAGGCAAACUACCUAGGUUAUUGUUGGAGAGAUCAAUGGUCUUCAAAGAAGAAAUGUUGAAGAUCGAAGUUGGAAUCUGACCUGUAAGGCCUUUAAUUGCUUUAAUAUUAAGCAAUACCAAAUCAAGAAUAUUACCGAUUUCCAAACCAAGAAUUUAUAGAAGAAACAAAUUUAACACAAUGUUUUUUGAGUUUGGAAAAUGUUAAAGUGAAAAACAUACCUUCUAAUUUGUUGUCAGAUAGUCCUAUUAUUUCGAGCAUAGUUGAAUUAAAAAUACUUGAUGGAAUCUGACCUGCACAUAUAGUUGAAAAUUGAAGUGAAAAACAUACCUUCUAAACUGUUCAACUAAAAAAACUUUAAGCAUAUUUGUUUUUCCAUCAAAUUAACUAUUUUGCCUUGAAUGAAAUAAAAUGCUCUUACUUUUGUUAUUUAUUACUAAUCAAACUCUUUUCUAAAAAAAAACUUUAAAUUAAGAAACUAAGAAAAUUCGGUACCUUCUAGGUUAUUCAACCCCAAAUAUAAUUCUUUGAGUUGUGUCAGAUUUCCAAUACUUUUUGGAAUGAUCCCCAUCAAUUGAUUAUAGGACAAUGACAAAAUUUUAAGGUUGCUGCAUUUGCCCAUGCCAAAUGGAAUGUUACCAGAUAAUUCAUUCCGACUCAAGUAAAGCCCUUCAAGCUUGGGAAGAUGUUGACACAUAUCAUUAGGCAAACUACCUGGUAGGCUAUUGCUGGAGAGUUUAAUAAUCUUCAGAGAAGAAAUAUUGAAGAUGGAAGAUGGAACCUGACCAAAUAAUUGAUUGAAUCCCAAGUUCAAGAUCUCUAGAUUAGACAUGUUAACAAGUGUUUCAGGGAUUGUGCCUGUAAAGUUAUUAUUCUUCAUUUCCAGCCUUCGAACUCUCUGUAAGUUCCCAAGCCAUGAUGGAAUUUCCCCAUUCAGACGGUUGUAGCUUAAUUGAAGGAUCCUCAAACGAUGCAAUUGGCCAAAUUCUUUAGGGAGAUGGCCAUAGAAAUGGUUGCUACUCAAGUCGAGAGAGAGUAGAAAUGAAAGAUUUCCAAGGUGUGGAGGGAUAGUACCCCUAAGAUUCAUGCUUGUAAGAUUCAAAGCUAUAACUCUUUUAUGGAGGAUGCCACAAGAAACACCAAUCCAAUUGCAAACAGAGGUUGAGGCCGUCCAAUUGUUUGCCAAGACAUUUUGAGGACCGGCAAUGCGAUCCUUAAACUCGAGAAGUGCAAACUGAUCGGAGUUGAGAUUCCUGACUGUCAUACCCCAGCAAAGUCCGGAACAUGGUAUGAAUAAAGCUAAAAGAAGAUGAAAGCAAGUGUUGUAGUUCAUGAUAGCAAGACGGAAUAAGCCAAGAAAAUAAAAAAAAGUAGGACAAGGGAAGUUGAGUUGAUAAAAUAGUUUGGAUGAUGAAGAAAAGCCCAGAGAGCAUGCUUUAAUAUGUUUUGAAGAAAUUUCAAAAUAAAUUUCAAAAUAAAUUUCAAAAUAAAAAUUUAAAAAGGAAAGCAAAGUUUU